rnacentral:lncRNA from 1 species
CAUAUUUUCCCUUAACUUUUAGAAAAUAAGAACUGCAGUUUCAUUACAAUAUAGAAAAAAAGAAAAUAAAAAAAUGGUAUUGCAUAAAUAAUCAAAUCCUAUUUUUUCCCCUAUAUGUUUACAUACUUUAAUAAAAUAAAAUAAGGGAUAAAUAUAAUUUUUCUUAAUAAAAUUACUUAAUUGUCAGGAAUUAUAAUUUUAUUUUUAUAUAAUAUUAUGAAUACAUAUAAAUAACUUUAAUAUAAAUUAUUAAAAAUUUAAAAUAUAACUAUAAUAUUUUAUAGUAAUUAUAUUUUAAAUAAUCGACAUACGAUGAAUAAUUUAUUUUAAUAACCAUUUUAUUUAUAAUUUAAUCAAUAAAUUUUAUCAUUACUUUUAAUUUUUUUUAAUGUCUAAUCAAUUUUCGCCCUUCAUUAUUUGAAAAUUAUAUAUAUUGGAUCAGUAAUGUGAUUUUUACAAAUUAAUUUUUCUAUAAUCCUCAAUAGAAACAAAAAGGAUAAGAAAGGAGUUGCUAAUUAUUCUUUAAUUUUGCAAAAGCCAAACAACUAAUAGUUCAUAAAUUUUAUAUCAGAAAAAUAUUAUUUUUCUUUUUUAAAAUUAAUAAUUUUGUAAAAAUUUAAUCGAAUUAAUUUUUUAAAAUAAUUUUAAACAAAUGAAACAAUUGAGUUAUUUUUAACUUAAUAAAAUUUUAUUAUAAACAAGAAGUAGAAACAUUAAUAAGCAAAACCGCAAAAAUUGGACUUCAACGGCAAAGCCAGGGGCUAUCUUUUUUUUAAGUGGAAUGCUAUUGUUUUCCUCUGUUUCCAUUUGGAAUCCCCUGGCUGAAAUUUCUGUAAUUGCUCGCAAAAUUGCAUAUUUUAACCGCCCUGCUUUGCAAUACAUGUGAAUUAUUAUUAUUAUUAUUUUUUUUUCUUUCUUUCUUUCUUUCUUUCCUUCAUGUCUGUUUAAGGCUUCUAAUUCUCAAUUCCAUUUUAUGACGAAUAUAAGCUGUUUUUUUUAGGAAUAAAAGCUAACACUGCAAUUAUUUAGCUAGAUUCGAUUCAGCGAUUAAAAAUAGAGUGAUUUAUAAUUUAGUCCCUGGAUAUUGCCAUUAUUAACAAGUCAGUCCCUGUAUUUUUAGAAACCUAUUAAAACGUCUUUAUGUUUUAUUUCCGUCAAUGAAAUAGUCAUUCCAUUCUAUUUUCCGUUAAAAUUAGAUAANNNNNNNNNNNNNNNNNNNNNNNNNNNNNNNNNNNNNNNNNNNNNNNNNNNNNNNNNNNNNNNNNNNNNNNNNNNNNNNNNNNNNNNNNNNNNNNNNNNNNNNNNNNNNNNNNNNNNNNNNNNNNNNNNNNNNNNNNNNNNNNNNNNNNNNNNNNNNNNNNNNNNNNNNNNNNNNNNNNNNNNNNNNNNNNNNNNNNNNNNNNNNNNNNNNNNNNNNNNNNNNNNNNNNNNNNNNNNNNNNNNNNNNNNNNNNNNNNNNNNNNNNNNNNNNNNNNNNNNNNNNNNNNNNNNNNNNNNNNNNNNNNNNNNNNNNNNNNNNNNNNNNNNNNNNNNNNNNNNNNNNNNNNNNNNNNNNNNNNNNNNNNNNNNNNNNNNNNNNNNNNNNNNNNNNNNNNNNNNNNNNNNNNNNNNNNNNNNNNNNNNNNNNNNNNNNNNNNNNNNNNNNNNNNNNNNNNNNNNNNNNNNNNNNNNNNNNNNNNNNNNNNNNNNNNNNNNNNNNNNNNGAAGAAAGAGAAGAAGCAGAAGAAGAAGAAGCAAAAGGAAGAAGAAUUGAUGAAGAAGAAAAGGAAGGAGGAGGAGAAAAAUAAUUGGAGGUAAUUUAGUAUUUUACUAUAUUUUUAACGGCAAAAAUAGACAGAAGGACUAUUUCGUUGACGGAGAGAAAAUAUAAGGAUGUUUUAAUAGAUUUCUAAAAAUACAGAGACUGACUUGUUAAUAAUGUCAAUACCCAAAGACUAAAUUGUAGAUCUCCCUUAAAAAUAUAUUAUUCACUUGAAAUAUCCAAAUUUGAGUAUUCGCACUCUCAAUCCGUACACAAAAUAUAAUGUAUUAAAAAAAACACUAACACCACAAUCCUUGCUUUGCAGAAUAGGAGUGUCUUUGGGCUCCAACAGAUUUUUAGUAAGCAUGCUGCAUUUGAAGUUAUAUCUUAUUUGGGCCUUAGGCCUUUAUUUUAACAAAGUCUCUAUCUUUGAAAAAUAAAAGAAAAAAAAGACACAUGUUAAAGAAAGAGGGGAUAGUUAAGAUGUCGUCUUACCUUAAUAUUGAUUUGGUACAUAAAUUUCAGAUAUAGUUUAAUAACUUAAAUAAUUCAUAUUUUGUUUUGAUUCUUUUUUAUUUUCCAUAUUUUUCAUCUCGUUUAGUUAUGUUUAGCUUUGUGCAUGUCGUUGUUCUUGUCUAUAGAUUGCUUUCUAGGCAUGCCGCGGUCAUCUUCUCUAAUUGUUUUCCUGAUGAGGAUGGAUGGCAGUGGCUUGGCAAUUUCAGGCAGUGAGGUGAUGGAGUUGGACAGGACUGCAUCUAGGUUGUUGGCUUUGACUAUAGAUGUGGGUUAUGCUAUGAGUUGAGUUUGGGUUGGACUUUCUUUAGCUUAGCUUAUAUGAUCUGCUGAUUAAUGGCCUUUAUAAAUUACUUUUCCGCUUAAUUUGUUGCAAUUUUACUUUGUUAUUUGUCAAUCAAUUAAUUAUUAAAAAUCGCGUAUUCAGUAUGCGGACACUGCUGUAAAGAUAUUCUUGCUAUAUUUUCUAUAAAUGAGGUAUUUCUCUCUUAUAAAUAUUUGGAUUUGCCACUACUUCUGUGACGUUUGCGUUAAAAAACUUUAGCUGCCGUAAGAGAUUGCGUCAAGAUUAAAAUAUAGUCAUGGGAGUAAAAAUUAUUAUCACAUACUAAUUGGGCUAUAAUGAUUCAAUCGGUGUUAACUGCUAUACCCAAUUAUUGGAUGUAUGUUUUUUUGUUUCUCAAGCAAUUUUUCUGCUAAGCUAAAUAGUUUGCUCUCUAGAUUUUGGUGGGGUGGUGAUGCGAACUUUUCGAAACUUAAAUGGGUUAGUUGGAAUUGUUCCUGUGAAUCAAAACUUUAUGGGAAUUUGGAAUUUAAAUAAUUUGACAGUUUCAAUCUAGCUUGCUUGCAAAGCAGCACUGGCGACUAGUUCAUCACCUGAUGAACUGUAUGGGCAAGAGUGUUAAAAGCAUUAUAUUUUUCUCAUAUAUCUAUAAGGGAUGCUGUAUAUAAGUGGAAUAAUUCUUGGAUUUGGCAAAGCCUCUAGGAUGGGCGUGAUGUACCGCAUGAAGGGAUAUGUAUAAAUAUUGGUGAUGGUAGAUCCACUCAUAUUUGGUCUGAACCCUGACUGACUGAGUUAACUAGAUUUCAUCUGCAGCAACCCUUGGUGGUUCUGACUAAUGUUCGGAUCACUAAUCAACUACCAUUUUCUAAAAUGGAAUCACUAGCUCCUCACCUCUCACCACAUGAGGUCACUCAAAUUUCAUUAAUAUCAGUUACUCCUAGCAGCACUCCAAAUCUUUUAGUUUGGCGUCAUACUAUGACUGGAUUUUACACUGUGCGUUCUGUUAUCGACUUUUACUACAUCAUCACCAGCUUUUAGGUCUAAUUUUGUUACCAUCUUUUUCUAUAUAUCCUAGUUGUGGUGCAUUGAAGAGUAUUUGGUUCAUUCCGGUCGUACUGAAGCUGAGAUUUUUCAUUUGGAGAUCACUUCAUAAUAUUUUGCCUGUUUUAGCUAGUUUAGUAAGGCGUGGCUAUUUAUCUAAUUCUCAAUGUAAGCUUUUUUACUCUGAACUUGAUACUCUCAACCAUAUGGCUUUUCACUGUUUCUUUACCGGUUUAAUAUGGUUUGCUAGCCCGUGUACAUAUAAGCCUCUGACUUUGCUUUUCCUUAUUUUCUUACCUUGUGGGAGGCUCUUUUAGCACUGUCCAAAUUGGAUUCGAAAUGUUUGAGACUUUUAACUCUUUCCACACUUAUACUCCGACACAUUUGAAAAGAGUGUAAUUAUUGCGUUUUCGAUAAAGUUCCUCCUGACCUUAUGCAUGUUGUGUCUUGUAUCUUAUUUGAUUUCUCAUAAUUACAACUCGGUGGGAUUUUUGUUGAUUCUUCUUCGCAUCCUUCUCAUAUGUCAGCUACAGACAAGAGUUUGCUUACUUGCUCUCUGGAUUGUGUUUUAUUACACUAUGAUGUCUCAUAGAAGAAUCAAUUUUCUCCUACUGUUAUGCUUAUUAUCACUGAUCGGGUUGGAUAAGUUAUUCAUUCAGGUGUUUAUCGGUCAUUACACGUAAAGCUCAAGUUUUGUUAGAUGGUAUUAAAUUGGUUGUGUCUCUAGGACUAUCAUUCCUCAUGUGUGACACAAACUUUCAUAUUUUAUAUUCCGUUGUCCAGUACCUUGGCAAAUUAUUAGUAGCAUUUAUUUUAUAGGUUUGCUCUGUUUGUAAUAAGUUUCCUUUUGACAUAUUCAUCCAUAUUUGAAUAUUAGCUAAACUCUAUCGUCUGAAUUUACUUUUUUAAUAUUGGCUUUUGUACAACCCGUGUUAUUUAUAAUCUCUUUUAUAGUCUUGCUACUUUAGUAUUUUUGGAAAUGUAAUUUAUUUACCGUUAAAAAAAAUUAUAUAAAAAAGUUACUAGUAUUAAAAUAUGGGCUAUAGGCCUACGAAUACAUUUUGUGCAUGCAUUUGUUUAAAGCUGGUGUCUUGCCCAAAUAAAUGACUCCUCCUAAGUAGGCCACUGCCCAAGAUGGAUUUUUCUUUCUCAGUUUACCGGAUUUUCUUUCUAUUUGAAUCCAUAGGAUGUUUAGCAUAAAUUGUACUUAAUCUAAUAUAGUGUUUUUUUUUUACUUAUUAGCAUUUUUCCAUUAAUAUUANNNNNNNNNNNNNNNNNNNNNNNNNNNNNNNNNNNNNNNNNNNNNNNNNNNNNNNNNNNNNNNNNNNNNNNNNNNNNNNNNNNNNNNNNNNNNNNNNNNNNNNNNNNNNNNNNNNNNNNNNNNNNNNNNNNNNNNNNNNNNNNNNNNNNNNNNNNNNNNNNNNNNNNNNNNNNNNNNNNNNNNNNNNNNNNNNNNNNNNNNNNNNNNNNNNNNNNNNNNNNNNNNNNNNNNNNNNNNNNNNNNNNNNNNNNNNNNNNNNNNNNNNNNNNNNNNNNNNNNNNNNNNNNNNNNNNNNNNNNNNNNNNNNNNNNNNNNNNNNNNNNNNNNNNNNNNNNNNNNNNNNNNNNNNNNNNNNNNNNNNNNNNNNNNCAAAACCUCCAUGAAUAAGACAAUAUAUAUUUAAACUAUUAAUAUUCACUAAAAAAAAGACAUUGUGACACUUGAGUUUUAAAAACAUCUUAUAAUAUAAAAAUUAUUAUUAAUAUGAUCUUAUGUUCUUAACAUAAGAUUUAUUACUUAAUUGUACUAUUAAUAAUUAAAAUAACUUAAUAAUAAUAAUUAUAUAUAAUUUACAAAUUUUAAAAUUAAAACUCAUCUUAUUUUUUAUAUAUUUAAAAUAAUUAUUUUUAAUAUUUAAAUUAAUAAAAUAUUAUAAAAAAAUUUACGCUAUUUGCCUAUUUUAAUUUUAAAUAAUUCCUAUGGGCCAUAAUAUUUUUAAAUUUUAAAGUGUCAAAGCACUUUUCCAAUAUUCUACGCAUGUCAUGUUUGUGUAAAUGCACGAUUUUUCAAUUUGAUUUGAGUUGGGAUAAUGGCCUUGAAAAUAAUUCAUUUUUGUCUUAUCAAGCUUACAGCCGCGUUAUAUGACGUUUGAAACGAGAAAAGUGGAGUUGGUAGGGUUUUUUUUUUAUUAUUUAAAAAAAAAGUAAGAGAAAAAUAUUUGUUUGAAAUAUUUAUUAAAAAUUAAAGUUUUAAUUUAAAUCUAAUAUAGUUUAAUAUAAUAAUAAUAUUAAUAAAAUUAUUUCAUUAAUUUUAAAAAAAUUAAAUUUAGACUUUAAUCUCUUAUGUUAAGUUGCUUUCAAAAAAAAAAAAAAAAUCUCUUAUGUUAAGUAUUAUCGACUUCCAUUAACCAAAAUUUGUAUUAGAAAAUUGAUAGACUUUAAUUUUAUUCAAUUUAAUGUAUUUCUCUUAUUUUUUAAUAAAAAGUAUAAUACCUUCAAUUAAAUGUAUUUUUUUCUUUUUUCCUCUAUAAAAACUAAAAACUGUUAUUUUUUUAAAAAAUAAAACAAAUAAAAACUGUAUUCCAUUCUAAAUAAAAUAAAAUUGUAUUUCCAGAUUCUAUUCGUAAGUUUUUUUUGAUCUCGUACCCAUUUGGAUCUAGUCAAAACCCACGAAAACAAAUCAGAUCUAGAGCUCGGAACGUCCUUAGGCAGAUCUGCCCCGCAGUCUAGAAUUGGAUCCUGAUAUAUAUGGCAGGCCGAGUCGCCUGUGAAUCCAAAAUCAGUAAGAAAAAAGCUGGUCCGAUGAUAGGACGGGGUGAGAAAGAAACAGGCUAGUUCUUUCGCAACCCUUUUCGCAUACAUAUUAGGGAGAAUUAAAUGGCCGUCUGAAAUAGAUAAAAUGAUUGACGCUACUAUAUGUACAGAUCUACUCGACAAAAACGAAUAUUACUGUAACAGAAAAAUUAUUAGGUGUCACUGACAAGUAAAAAGAAAAGAAUAAAAGAAAAGGGAGACCCUUCUCAUAAAAGAGCUUACACAUAUAUUGUAGAUCCUAUUUUCUACAUUUUGAUAUCAUAUUCCAAUAAUAAAAAUAUGAAAAAAAAGUAAAUAAUCUAAAAAGUUUAAUUUUUAGAUUUGAUUUUUAUCAAUUUAUAUUCAUUAAAUUCUGAAACAAUGGUAAAAAAAUAAUUAAAAUUGAAAUAUGUAUUUAUGUUUAUAUAAUUGAACACAUGCCAAUCAUUUAAAAUUUUGAAAAACUUUAUUAGAAUAGAAAAUAUUACUCCUUUCUUACUAUAAUUUUUUUCAUAUUUUAUUUUUUAAUUAUUUUAAAAUUAUUAUCUAUACAUAUAAAUCAACUAUUAUAAUUCUAUUUUAUUUUAUAUUGUUUUCAAUAUAAUCUCUUAUUAAUUAUUAUUUUUUUAAAAUAAUUAAAAUAACUUUUAAUAAAUUUAAUAUUUUUUAAAAUAUAAAUAUUUAAAAAUUAAUAAAAAAUAUUUUUUAAUAUAUAUAAAAAAAUAAAUUAAUAAAAAUUAUGCAACUGAGAAAAUAUAGUAUAAUUUUAUAGGGAUAGAUAUCUCUCCUCGCUAUCCUUCUCGAAAAUAUUGGCUUUUAAUUUUAACUCAGACCGCAUUCAAUUUAGUCGAUUUGUUUUUUGUUUUUUUUUUUUCUAAAAUAAUAAUUUUAAUUAAAAAAAAUUUAACAUCAUCAAUGAUGGUAUAAGAACAUAUUUAAAUUAUUUUAUUUCAAAAUGAAAUGAAAAUAUAUUAAAUUAAAAAAAAUAAUUUUUUAAAUUUAAUAAAACUUAUUAAUUUGUUCAUUAAUUUUGAAAAAAAUUCAUUAAAAAAUUAUUAAAAUAUUAAAAAAUUUAUUAAUCAAUCAUUUAUUAAUUUUAAAUAUUAAGUAUUUUUUUAUAGUAUGAAUAAAAUUUAUUAAUUUUAUAAAAAUUAAAUUAAUUAAUUUUUUAUUUUAAAUUUUUUUAAUAUUUAAUAAUUAAAAUUAACCGAUAAAUUAAUUAAUAAAUUUUUUAAUAUUUUAAGAGAAUAAUUAGUUUGUACAUAAUAAUUCUCCCAUAAAUUAAUUAGUCUGUACAUAAUAUGACUCCUACAAUUGGCUAUCUCUCUUUGUUAAUUUUAGCAUAUCUAGAUCUUAUAAAUGACACUUGAUCAACUUCUAAUAAUAAUAAAAUCUCGAUGCGGGUCUGUGGACUGUGAUGGUUUGUCAUGGAAACAUAUAGUUUCUUUCCCCUCUUGAACUUUCUAUAAAUAAUGCACCUCAAUUAUUUGAAAAAUCAGCUAAUUUUUGUGUUGAUUGAAUUACAUAUUCAACAGAUUUGACAACUCCAUACACAAAAACUGAAGCUUAUAAAUAGUUUUUUAGUUUUUUAUUGAAUUAAAAUAUUUAUAUUUAAUAAUUAAAAAAAUAAUUUAUAAAAAAUAAUAUUUUCACAUUUAAUUCAUCUAAAUAAAAGUGAAUAUUUAUUUUUAUCAAAUCAAAUCAAAUAAAUUAAAAAAUAAAAUUUUAAUAUUUAUAAAAUUUAAAUCAAAUUAAUUUUAGAUAAAAAUCAAUUUAAAUUAAAUUGAUUUGAUUCAAUUUCAUUUGAAUUAAUUUAAUUAAUUGAGUUUUUAAUAAUUUUUUAAAACUAUUUCAAUUUUAAUCAUAAUAUAAUCUUUUUAUAUUAUCAAAAAUAAUAUAUUAUUACCCACUGGAUAACUUCAAUUGUUUUUUUUUGGUGAGAAAUAUUAAUAUAUGCCGAGUAUAUAUUAUUGAAGAUGCUGCUUCCUAAAUCUAUCACCAUCGGUCUCUGAGCCGAUCACCUCUUCCGGCCCGUUUUAAUACCAACACGCUACUCGUUGCGGGCCGUUAUGAUUCUGAUGGUAAGCUUCUAGCCUUUUUUUUAUUUACUAAAAUCUAUUUUCUGAUAAAAUUAAAAUUAAAAAAAAAAAAAACUCUUAUAUUUCAUGACAUACACAUUGCGUUACUAUGACGCUUGUCGCAGAGGAAUAAUAAUAAUGGUAAUAAAUACAAACUACUUCUCAACUAUCCAGAUUUCAGGGCAAAUUAUGCAAAUUCUGUCUCCAAUCAGUCAAUCGGACCAUUAAUUAGAUUGAGCAUAAUCACACUUAUUAAUUAAAAAAUUAUCGAAACCAGAGCUGAAAUGGAAGAAGACAAAGCUACAUAUCUUAUCAAACAGCUAAUAAUAUAUAAUUUAGCUGAAGAUUAAGUGCAUGAUUAGUAUCUUAAUCAUUGAAUUUUAACACUGUGAUAGUCAACAAAUUGAAAAUUUUUAAAAAGUCAACUAUUCAACAAGUGAGAUGAGACAAAAAUGAAAAUGCACAAUCUGAGAUUCUGAAUGAUUGUGUAGGCCACAAAAUUAAUCUCAAAUUAAAUUAAGUUAAACACCCAUAAUUAUCAACCUACACUAGGGUUAAUAAUCACACCCCUUUACCUAUUUCAAUACUUGUUUUCUUCUUACAUUUUUUUCUUAUUGAUUUAUUUAUAUACAUUUUUAAUUUAUUAAAUUUAAAAGAGAUUCAAAUUUUGUAUAGAUAUUAUCAUUAUUAAUUCAUCAUAUUUCUAUAUUUUUUAAAAUUUUUUAAAAUAUUUUUAUUUUUUAUCUUCAUUAAUAAAAUAAUUUUUUUAUUUAUUUUUAUGAUUAAAAAUAUAAUAAAAAAUUAAAUUACUCUCUUUUUCUUUUUCUUAUUUUUUUUAUUUUUCUUUUUCUUCAUCGAUUCUUCAUCUUUUCCUUUGAUUUUUCUUAUUUUUUCUUCAUUAAUUUUUUUUUUCAUUUUUCUUCAUUAGAAAAGAGGAGAAAGUAAUUUUAUGGUUAUCAUUUUCUUCUUUUCUUUCUUUGUUUUUUUCUUCUCCUUCAUUAUUAUUAUUUUCUUCCUAUUUUCUUCUUCUUUUAAGAAAGAGAAAGAGAUUCUUCUCCUUCUUUAUUAUCAUGUUCUUCUUCUCCCUCCUCCUUUUUUUUCUUCAUCAUCAUCCUCUACUUUUUCUUUUUUUUUUAAAAAGAAAAGAAAAACUAUUUUAUUGACGAAAAAAAAAUAUUUUAAUACAUAUGAGAAAAGAUAAGAAUAUUUUAAUAGAUUUAUAACUUAUUAAUAAUAACAAUAUUUAAGAACUAAAUAAAGAGUUUUAUUUGAAAGAAAAUUUGAAUUUUAAAAUUUUUUUUUCAUACUUUAUAUAUUUUUAACAAAAAAAAAAUAAAAAAAUUAUUUUGAUGACGGAAAAAACAAUAUAAAAACGUUUUAAUAGAUUUUUAAAAAUGUAGAGUCCGACUUGUUAAUAAUGAUAAUAUUUAGAAAUUAAAUAAUAAAUUUCUUAAAAUUUAAUUAAAUUUUAUUCAUAUCGAAUAGAUUCAUUAAAAAAUAAUGUAUUUUUAAUAAAUAUUAAUUAUUUAAUUCAUGAAAAUUAAACUAAGAAAAGUGUUGAGCAUUCAUUCAACGCUAGUUAAUUUUUUUUAAUAGUGAUCGUGUUACUUUUUUAAAAAAAUAUAUAAUUUUUUCUGAGUGGUGAUGUCAAGUAUAUUUUGUAAAUUGACAUGUCUAAAAUAAAUAUAAUUUUAUAUGCUUAGAUCCUUAGUUAUAUCCUUAUCAGUGGUCUGAGUAGAGUGGAAUGCCAGGUCAAUGGGCCGCAUCUCGCAAAUUCUUAGGCACAUAUGUACAAAUCCAGCUACCAUAAAGUGAGAAGACGUGGGUGCUCCAUAAUAAUAAUUAAUAUUUUUUUUUUUGAGUGAUUCAUAAAAAUAUUUAUCAGUAUUAUAUUAUUAAUAAGUGGAUCUUUACAUUUUAAAAACUCAUUUAAACAUCAUUAAAUUUUUUUAUUCUCAUCCAAUCAGAAAAUAAAAAUAUUAUUUUUUAAGUAUAUUUUAUAAAUUUCCUAUAAAUUAAAUUUUAAAUAUGAAAUAAAUAACUAUCUAAAACCAACACACUGAGUAUACGUAAUGAUUGUGCAUUUUUUUUCUCACAAGAUGGUUUGAAGCAGUUUUGCCAAAUGCUUUAUGUGGUUAAAAUUUCAAAAUAGUCCUCAUACAAGCUAGGGCUGUAAAAUUUGAUGGUAAAUGAAAUGGACCAAUAUCAUAUAUGAUUAAGACAAAAUAUUUUCAAGGGGGGCCUAGAGAUCAAGAAGCACAAAAGGGGAAUUUUUAAAUUCCUAAACUUCUUUCUAUUUAAUUAAUUGCCCCAUUGUGGGUUUUGAUUUUAUAAUUUGACCCUCAAAUUGCUGGGAUUAGGUACAAAUGGCCAUUGCUUUCUAAUAGGCCACUCAAGAUUUCCAAAAUCCUUGUGAAGAGAACAUGGGAUGAUGGAUGUCUACUCAUUAUGCUUUCAUUCUCAUUAGCCUUUGGACCCAAUAGAAAUUUCAUCACCUCAUAAAUAAAAUCUUAAAGUGAUACUGUUCUCACAUCUAAUAUUAGCCAUUGAAUCAUCUUAGCACUUAUUUACUUUCAAUUUUAUCAACCAUAUGUGAUACAAAAUAAAUGUUGAUUAAAACGGCUGUUGAUAGUGAAAUGUUGUCUAGCUUUUAGUUUAUUCCUUUACAUUGAAGUCCAAUCAUAAAUACCUAUAAUCGAUUGCGGAAAAUUUUUCACUGUUGCUAUGUCUGGAUCAUGUCUCAGUCCCAAUGGUAUAUAUAUAUAUAACGAAAUUAUUUAAAAUAUCAAAGGAAAAUAAAAAGGAGAGUGAUGAGAAAGAGACUCGAGCCGACUUUCCUGAAUAUGAUUGUUUGGUGUUUACUCUUAAUUGAAAAAUGAUUUAUUUUGUUUUGUUUUUUCGAAUAGUUUUUUAGCGUUAAUUUGAUUAAACUUGUAUGAAAAGAAAUUUUAUCUGUCUAUUAUUUAGAUGUGGUCUUAGAUUGGUGCUCAGCAAAGAUUGGAGCAAUUGUUUAGUGGCUGGAGUUUCAAAGAGUUAGUAGCCAUGUGUUCAAUAGUUUAGCUUCGCUUAAAGUUAUAGAAGAUUGAGAUAUCAAUAAGCGUCUCUAUAGUAUUAUGUAUAUAUGCCUCAACUAAAAAGCUUGACUUGCAUACCAUCAAUUUGACUAUUUCUAGAUUUUUUGGCAUGUGUCCUUCAUCGUCUUAGUAUUUAGUUGAUCUGCGCUCAUAAUCAUCUAAUUUGAAGUUGAUGUGGAUGAUAAGAAUGGAAAUCAAUGGUGUUGCAAUAAUUGAUAGAGUUAGUAAUCUCGGAAGACAGACAAAGAGUAUAAUUUUUCGUAGAUUCAUUAUUAGGAGACCUUAAAUUUGAACCGGAUGGUAAAAGGUUUUAAAUAUUGUCUAUUUUGUAUAUUUUUAAAAUUUUUCUGAGCUCACAUUUAAUAAAUUACCUUGUACCUUUGUUAAAAUGCAUCUUAGAUGUAUUGUUUUAAAAACUGAAUCCAAGUACUACUCAAAUAAAUAAACCCUUUGGUUAAUUUUAAUGAUUUUCCAUGCAUUGAAUUGUUAUAAUUAUGUCAAGAUCAAUAAAAUUUUAUUUUUUUUCAAAAAAACCUUAUUUAUUAUAAACUAAAAUAUAAAUAUUUAAAAUUUAUAUGUAAAAUAAGUGAGUGGUAUCAUAUACUUUAUGUCUUCGUUUAUAAAAAAAAAAAAAAAUUAUUAGAAAUCUAAGGAUGCCGUACACGUAAUAUACCUGAGAAAAGAAUCCUUAUUUAUAUACCUUAUAAAAGAGAACCCUCAUAGACUUAACCUCACAUAUCCUAUUGACCCAAAACUUUAAGGCUAGAUUUUUUUUUUCCUUUUCGAAGACUUUAAGGCUAUGUAUAUAUAUAUAUAUAUAUUUGCAAAAAUUUCAUUUAAUAAUUUAAUAGGAAUUAUUUUCAUGGAAUCCAUGGAGAGUUAAAACCCAAAAUAAAUAGAACAGAAAAACAAAAAUGCAGAUCUUAAUAAGGAGUUAAGGACACGAGAAGCAUCUGUGAUAAAGUUGAUAAUGCACAGGAAGUGGACUGCGAAAGAGACAAGGAGUCCACUUGAGAGAAGUGGGUCGGUAAAAACGACAACGUGAGCAAUCAGGAAUCAGAAAACGAAUCUCUAACCAACGAGCAGAUGUACCUGCACUCUUGCAAAAUUUUCACACGCCAACCACUAGUUUAACGGCCUUUGGCGAUUGAUGGAGCAAAAUCAACCCCAUUUCUCCCCUCUUUUUCAUUUUAUUUUUUUUUAUGACGUAAUCCUUUUCUUUCUUUUAUUUCAGGUGAAAAAUGGGAUAUAAUUUUCUAUGGAGGUUCAAUUAGCUUUUCUCAAACUCAAUGCCAAACACCUACUCAAACCUAAGUUGUUAGGGGUAUUCUGUUUUCUUUCCUUUAUUUUGGCAUAGCAUAAUUUAUCACUGCAAAAAAAGUACAAUACGUUACCGUAUUGAAUAAGUUUCAUUGUUCUCAGAUUCGCCCUGUUUUUGUUCGGUCAACAUCACUAUGGAAGUGUCCCACUUUAUUUUUACAUCCAUUUCUUCCGCUUUUCUUUAUUUUCUUUCAUAGUUUAGUGAAAAAUAAGUGAUAAUAUUUUCUUUUAUUUUUAGGUAAAAACAUAUUAAUCGAAUUUAAAAUGAAUUCAAAUUUAAAAAAUAAUAUUUGCUACAAAUUUAAAUUAAAUUUAAAUUUUAUAUAUAAAAUAUCCAUUAUUCGAAUUUAUUUAUAUAAAUAAUUAAUUUAAUAUAAAAAAUAUAUUUUACAAUAAUAUUAAUAAAUUUUUUUAUAUAUUUUUAUUUAAAAAUUAAAAAUUAAAUAUUUUUUAUAUAAAUUAUUAAUUAAAAUUUUAUUAAACAAAUUUAAAUUUUAUUUAAAUAAUAAUAAUUAAAUUUGAGAUGAAUUCAAAUAAUUUAAAUUAAUAUUUAAUAAAAUUCUGAAUGAAUUCGAACAUUAAUAUAAUAGAAUUUGAGUAAUUUAAUUUUUACAAAUAUUCUAACCAUUUGCAUAAUUUUAACUUUUUCUAUCAUUUUGAAUGUAAAUAUUCUCAACUACUCCUCGUCCCUCUCUGGUAAAAAAAACUUUUCAAAAUUUACAAAUGUCACAGAGCAUGAGACAGCUACACCUCAUAUUUAGAUUAGGACACAAUAACAAGAUCCGAGUUAUGUGUCGCGCAGCCGGUCAGAAUAUGGUAAUGAUAAAACAAGUGUACGAUUUUGGCCAUAUGUCAUGGCAAACAUGAGCCUUUGCCAGAAGCUUGCCAGGUUUUUAAUCUUAACUUGUCCAAAUCUGUGUUCGGUGGUUCAGAUAUUUAUCUGAUAUUAAUAUUUUUUCCCUUCAAAUUUCCUUUAUUGAUUUUCACAACAAUUUGCAAAGAAAAAAAAUAUAGCUCACGGUUCAAAAUCUUAAAUCACAUGCCGCAAGAAGAAGGUUCCCAGAAAAGCUCAAUAGCUUUAUGACCCCUAUUUAAAGACAAAGGAGAUGAAAUAUCAUAAUCAUAGCCACAGGCCAGCAUCUUGGGAUCUUAAAUGUAUGUAUCACCUUGGUUUCGAUUGCUGUGCUAGGAGAGUUUUUCUAGUAUAAUUAGCUUUUGUUUUUUUUAAAUUUAUAAUAUAAUAUUUAAAAUUUAAUAAAAUUUACUAUCCUUUUAAUUAGAAAUAAUUUAAUUAUUAAUAUUUUAUUUUAUUUUAUUUUAUUAACAAUGUGAAUACCUAAAUUCUUAGUAUUUAUGUGGGAAAUGAAUAGACGAUGGUGGUACAGCGCAGCUCUCCGAUCUGAGUCAUGGCUCAAUAUUAUAAUUUACAAAAGAGUAUCAAGUAAUGCAUAGUGGGGGCUGCUGAGACUGAAGCAGACCUUCCACAGUUAAUUGGAGAGAAAGAGAGAGGGUGGUGAUAUUUAGUAAUAUUUUUUAUAAGAAGAUAGGGUGAUUAUGCAAUAGGCUAAUUAUUUGAAAUUUUUCAAAUUUAUUAAUAUAUUUAUUUUUAAAUUAAAUCUAAAUAUAAUUAUUUAUAUUCUUUUAAAUGCAUACCUACUAUAUUUUUAUAUUUUAAUAAGGAUGAAAAUUAACGUAUUUCAUAACGAAUCGAUUAAAAUUAAUUUAAAUAAUUUUUAAAUUUAUUUUUUAUUUAAUUAUUUUUACGAUAUAAAAAAUAAUUUAGUUCUAGUUAAAUAAUUAUUUCAGGAAGAUUAUAUACUUCUAUAAUAUAUUUCUUCCAUUUUAUAUUUAAGCUGUUUUCUCUUUUUAGAACAUAAAUUUAUUUAUUACUACCUUUGUCCUUUUUGUUUUAGAAAUUCUUUUUCCUACUUUAUUUGUCAUUUUAGAAAAUUUAUGAAGCAUUAGUUAUUUUAUUUUUUUAAGUUUUAUUUUAUUUCCUAUCUCUUACUUAAUAAUUGAUAUCUAUAUCCUAUAAAUUUAAAGUGAAAUGAUAUUACAAGGGUAUUUUAGUAAAUUACUUGUGUUAUUUUAUAAAAACGAAAUUAUUAAAUCAUUUCCUUAAAUUUUUAUGAAAAACCUUACAGGGAUAGAGAAAGUAUAUGUAAUUCAUUAAUUUUAGAAAUAAUUUAAUCAAAUGAGUUAUUUAAUUUUUAAUAAAAAAUAUGAGUAGAGAGUAUAUUAAAAAAGACAAAAUAAAUAAAUUCAUUUUAAUUAUGUUAAUUUUUUUUAUGUCUAUAUACCAAACAAUUCAUAGUAUUUCAUGCUUUUUUACAAAAUAUAUGAAAAUAAAAUUUAAAAAUAUUUUUUUGCUUUUAUUUUAAUAGCCGUUCACUAAUUAUUACUUUUCAAUCUAAUCAAACACUACAAUUUUCUUUCUAGAUUUAGCGAGAAGAAAUGGAAAAAGCAAGCUAACCAACGGGGAUUCAAUUUCAAAUACAAAAUAAUAAUGUCUUAAUUAUGAAUAUUUAAUAUUUCACCUAAUAUUGGUCACCAAUAAUGAGAAAUAAAAUAUUUUUAUUUUAUUUUUUUAAAAAAUAAAUAUGUUUUUAACCCAAAAUUUACACACAUUUAUGAAUUUUUUUUUAAAAAAAUUAUCAUACAAUGAUUUGAUAAAGAGAAUGAGAUGUCCUUUUUUUUUUUUUAUUUUCGUAAAAUACUCAUCAUCCUUGAGAAUAUAUGAAUGAUUGUGACGAUUUUAACCCAAAAUUUACUUCCUUUACUAUUAAUUUUGCCAAGACAAUUAUAUAUCUCAUUGAAUAAAACUACUAAUGAAAAGAUGUAAAUUACAUUGCUUUGAUUUAUUAUAAUUAAAAAAUAGAAUCAAUCAUGCUCAAUUUGAUAUUAUAUCACCACUUUGACUCAUUUUCUUUAUAUUAUAUUUUUUAAAAUAAUGCUCUUAAUUUAGAUAAAUAUAAUGGAUUCUUUGACGGUAAAUUUUUUUAUUUUUUAAAUAAAUCAUGAAAAUGUAGAUAAAAUAUUCUACUUUAUUUAGAAAAAAGAGUGUUUAACCAUUUAUUUCAAUGCACAUCGAUAAUAUAUAUGUUUAGGAAUUUAAUUAAUUUGGUUGUAGUAAUGGAGUGGUCCUAUUGAUAGUGGUGAGUUGUGAGGAGCUGUUUAGGGCAACUGGGUAGCUAAAUGCAAAUAUGAAAAUGCAAACCCACAAGACUCAUAUAUGGUCCCACACCCAACUAAGCCUUUCAUUUCCUGCCUCUAUCCCCACACCCCCCACAUCUUUUAAAUUAACGCACCUCUUUGCUGCUUUUGUAGUAUAUAUGAGUGGUCUCUGAUUUCACAAUAUUUGCAGACCCAUUUCGCCAUUUCAGGACCUCACCUUCUCCCUCUGUCUAUGUCCCUCUCCGCCUAGCUAGAUAGCUUUUCAGAUUUGUUGUUGAGAAGAGGGCGUGUGGGCAAGAUGGAGAAGCAGGGCACGUGCAUUUCUAACUCAUGCACACACUCAGUCCACAUUUUCUUGGUUGCAGUCGCCUGGUUGAAGAUCUUUUUGCUUAGCUUCAGUGACUGUGAGUUAGUUCUUCAUGUGCCCAUCUUCCCCAUCAUGACCACUACUCCUGGCUACAAUAUUUAUCAUUCAAAGACGACGAUAUGUUUCUACCCAUUUGGCUUUCUUGUCAAGAUCUCAUCCAAUUCGGUGAAAAAAGCUCCAUUUCAGGUCAGUCAUGCAUUAAUCUCCAAAACCCACUUCUCAGAAACCUUCUGUCUGAUAAAUGUUUGUCUUUUUUUCUGUGAGAGUGCACAUGGUUUAAUUAUUAAUUAGUGCCUAAAUUUUCCAUGGUCAAAGGAGUAAAUUAGUUAAUACUAACAUAUUAUACCGUCUGAAUUCUAUAAUACAAACACGAAAGCAUAGCAUAGCUAUCAAGAACAAGGAUUAUACUAUUGGGAUAAAGAUCAAGAAAUUAAGGCUGUCUAUGCCGUAUGUAUGUUGCAAACCAAUGAAUGUUAAGUUUCAACUAUAUAUUAUGAUGGAGCUACGAGGAUAAAGAUAAGAUUUUGACUGAAUUAUUAGUUAGCUAGUUAGCUUAGUGUCAUUAUCAGAGAACUUGUGUUUCCAUGACUGAUGAGAGUUGUGUAUAUUGGCAGCUGCAAAAUUCUUACCCCUCUCUCUCUCUCUCUCUCUCUCUCUCUCUCUCUCUCUCUCUCUCUCUCUCUCUCUGGCUUAUAAUAUAAGAGUUUUGACGCAUUAGAAACUAAAUAAAAUGCCAAAUCUAUGACCUAAUUGGAAUGGCAUAUUCUCUGAGUUAAGUGGGACAAGAACUCGGAAAUUUCAUAAUAUUUAAUUAAGAAAAUGAGGUGUUAUGUCUAUCUGUCUGAUUUUAUAUAUUGAUAAUAAUAAAAGCUGUUAAUUGCCUGAAUAAUUCUUUAUUUAACAAGUGUUCGACAGCCUAUAAAGUACAUAUCUUUAAUGCUCACUUAUAUUGCUUUGGCAAAAAAUUUGAAGAUAAACAAGCCUAAUCAAUAACACAGCCAACCAAGCCUUGUCUUGAAUUCUAGCUGGCUAGCUAGGCAGGGCAGACACGCAUUCAAGGUUCAAACAACCAUCAAGAUCUCAAGACAAUUAUCGGUGUUGUAAUUAAUUAGCUCUUUGGUACUUGGGAUUCUUUUUUAGGAAAAUAAAGCUAUUAAAUUUUAAUAAUUUAAUAAAUUAACUAUUGUAUUAAAUUAUGAGUUUGAUUAUGAACUAGUCGCUAUUAGAAGUGUUUUAUCUGAAUACUACAUUUGACUCGAAUGUAGAUUAGUGCCAUACGCAUAAGCAAAAUUGGGACACUAGAUGUAUGGUGCAAACCAAAGUUCUAAUCCAAGAUUUUUCUACAUUACCAAAUAGGCAUCACUUAAUCAUGGGGCAAGUUGCCCAAAUGGCCACAAAUGGAUAUUGUUCUCUCCACUGAAACUGAAAGUGGAAGAACAAGAAAAAGGGUAUGAAAUUCUCAUUUAUCUUUAUUGAUUUCCAAUUAAAUUUGGGAGUUGCUCUCAUUGAUUGCCAAUAAUAUCUUAUUGUGAGUUGAGUGAAGAAAGAAGUAUAGGUAACAAACUGUGUGUGGUAUGAUUUUUCUAGGUGGAAAAAAAAAAAACAAGAAAAGAAAGAAUUGAUGGCAUAUUAUCAAGAAUAGGGGCAUUUGGUACCACCACCAAGGAGACAAUACAAGACAACAACCAUAUGUCUCCAUUCCAUCCUUCUCGCCCUUUCACUUCAUCCACGUCUGAUUGACAAUGAAAACCCAUUCUCAAUAUCUUUUCUUCUAACCCAAUACAUAUACAUUACAGCCAACCUUUUUUCCUUUUGAUAAGCGAAUUACAUCCGCUUGAAAUAAAAUAAUUUCACAAAAAUUUAGUUUCUAUUUGAAAUAAAAAAUUUAAUUUUUUUACUUUAAAAAUUUUCAUUCUAUAAUUUAGUAAGAAUCAUUUGAAUUCUUUUAUUAUAAAAUUAUUCAUAUUAAACGAAGGGUUUAAAAUUUAAAUAACAGUAUUUUAGCAGCGAUAGUGACAGUGUUGAGACAAUACUUUAAUAACAAUUUAAAAUUAUUAAAAAAAAUUAUUAUAUAUAAAAUAUAUUUUAAUAAAUAAAUAAUUAUAUUUAAUAAUAUUAUAAUUUUAAUCAUACUUUUAUGAAAAAUUAUAUAAAUUAUUGUAUUACUACAUACACAUAUAUUACUUUAUAAUUAUUGGUUUAAAUAUAUAAGAUUACACAUGUUUUAUAAUAGUAAUUAUGCAAUUGUUUCUUUCUUAUUCAUUAUGGGGGACAUGGUUUGUUUCUAUCAAUAAUUAAGUUGGAAAACGUUUGAUUUUUUUUUUUCCUUUUUCGUCUUUGAAAUUCCAAAUUGCAUGUAGUUUUCCAUCAAAUACUUUGGAUUGGUACUGCAAAUUUUGGGCACACGAUCCGGAUGUAUGUGAUAUGAGAAUCUGAAAUGAAUAAAAUGUACUUGAGUUGGUCUAUGCAGAAAAAAAAUAUUAUGAUAUGAUUUUUUAUAGAUGACUUCAAAUAUAUGUUUUUUAGAAUAAAAAUAAAAUUUAUUUUUAUUGUCCUUAAUAAUAGAGUCCAAUGAAUUGGAUUUAUUAAAACCUUCACUGCAUACUUUUAUUUGUGUUAAUGAUGUGCAUAUCUAUAUAUUUAUAAAGCGAGGAAGCAGUUUGACACUCCCAUCUCUUUAAGUGAGUUUACUAUAUUAAUAAUUUCUUUAGGCUCAAUAUAAUCAGUAUAAUAUCUUUAAUUAUAUAAAAAAAACUUUAUUAUCGGUGAUGACCGUCAGACUUUUUACCCGUGGAAUGAGGUCGGACCCUAAAAAAAUAUAGUUCCAAAGCCCAUCAAGCCAUUCUCAAGCAGAUCGAUCCAAUAUCGCAAGACCUAGUCCGAAUACGCGAGGCAGGUCAGAUCAGCCAUGAGUGCAGGUCCAACAGAAAAUAGUCUAGCCCGGUGAUAUAACGCGAGGAAGAAUAGCUGGUGCAGUCGCUUCGCAACCCUAUCAAUAUACGUGCCGGGAGAAAUUAAAUGGUCGUCUGGUAUGAAGGGGUGCUCUUACUCGUCCGUAUGUAUAGUCUGUAUGAUAGAGACAUACACUGUAACAAAAAGAUAAUUAUAUGUUAAAGAAAAAGGAAAAAGAAAAAGAAAAUAUCAUAAAAUUUUAUUUUCUGAAUUUCAAAAUAUCACAUAGUUUAAGCAAUAUGCUGCAUAUGAACUUCUUUAAAGUGACCAAAUAAGAGUCACAUGCAUUGCAUAGCAUAGUUGGUUUUCUAUCGAGUCUCGAAUUCAAUUAUUCUCAUUUACUAAUUUUUAGAUAUUCAUAAUGAUGGUGAGGGGAAAUUAGUAACUGAUAAUCAAUAUUAACUGAUAUUUUAAGUAUUUAAUAAAAUAUAUAUAGGUAUUAUUGUUUAUAUAUUAAAUGAUAAAUAAGGAUAAUAUAUAUUAUAUUAUUUAUUUAUUAUUAAAAUAUACAUAUAAUUAUAUUGAUAAAAUGUUUUUUUUAUAUAAUAAAAAAUAUAUAUACACAAAAAGAAUGUUUUGAGAAAAAAAAUCCAAAAAGAAUGAGCAUCAAUAUCAAAUUUUUUUUCAUUGUAUGUUUUUAAGUUAUAAGUUAAAUUUAUUUGAUAUAGACAUUUUUAUUAAGUCACAUUUUAUUUAUCCAAAAUUAAUAAAAUAUGCUAUUUAUGAUAAAAAUAAAUAAUGACUACUGCUUGAUAAAAAUACAAUUUAUACAUUUUUCAUAAUUAUUAAUUAAUUUUAAACAGAUUUUUUUUCCUUUCUUUUUUUACUAUGCAGUUGUAUCUUUAUCAAAGUUUUAUUGAACAGAUAGACUACAUCACUGGUUUUUUUUUCUUUUUUUUUUUUUAAAAAAAAAGGCAAAAAGUCAAAUUAGAGAUGACCCCAUGACUUCAGCUUGUAGGAAUUAUUUCAAAAUUAUGUCUGUCUGAGUUUCCAGCUGUUCUAUAGUUACGUAUUUGAUCUUCUUACGAUUAUGUAUUGUACGAUGUGCGUGCGAAUGAUUAAUAAUAUACGUACGUGCAUUUUUCAAGUCUAAAUAAUUGAAAUUUAUUGUAGGCAGUUUUAUUAUUUGAAACUCUUUUAAUUAAAUAUAUAAAAUAUAUUUUUUAAAAUUAUUUAUAUUAACCUUUUCCAAGUAAUGCUUAUGAAAUAAAACUUUGUCUAAUUAAGAAAUAAAAUAUAUAAAUUUUAUAAAAGAAAAUUUAAGAAUACAAUGUUUAUUAUAAUUAGUUUUGAAAAGUAAUAACGAUAAUUUUCUUUUAUUUAUCAUAUAAAUUGAUGGGCGCAAAUUCAUCAAUUAAAAUUAAAAAAAUUUACAAAUAAAAUAAAUGAUCGUUGAGUUUAAAAAAUCUUAAAAUUUUUUAAAUUAAAUAAUAAAUAAAAUAAAAAGAACAGUUUAAAAUAUAAAAAAAUUAUUAUUUAAAAAAUUAAUUUUAAGAAAAAUUUUAAAAAAAUAAUAUAAUAUAAUUAAAAUUAUAAAACAAAUAAUUAAUAAAGAAAACUCAAUGGAAGGCAAUUAAAAUUGAGUGGUUUAUAUUUCUUAUUCAUUAAAAAGAUAAUUUAUUUUAUUAUUCAUUAUUUGAUUAUAGUGUUUAAAUAAGUGAAUUUUUUCAAUUUUUUUAUAAUUAAAUUAAUUCGCAUGCUUAAAUUAAUUUUUAAUUGAUUAAUAAGAUUUAAUUAAUUAGAGAAAAAAUUUAAAUUUGAUAAAUAAAGAAUAAAUUAUUUAAAUGAAAUCAAUUAAUUACUUAAUAUAAAAAAAUAUGUUAAUUAUUAAUUGUAUUAAUCCAAUUAAAUCAAUUAAUUAUUUAACCUAAACAAAUAUGAUAAUUCUACUUAUAUUAACCCAAUUAAAUAAUUACAUAUUUACUUAUAUUAAUUAGUAAUAUAUUACUUUAAAAAAAAUAACGAAGGUGGUAUUUCUCAACAAUUGAAAUUAAUUGAAAAUCAAAAUAAGAAUUUAAAAAUAUAAUCUCCCAACUUUAAAUAAGUUUUUGUUUGAUUCACAUUCAAUAAAAAAGUUUAACAUCUAAGAAUCAUAAUAAAAUUACAGAAAAAUAAAAAAGAAGAGAGGAAGAAUUCAGCCAAGAGAAACCAAAAAAGAGAGAAGAGGUGAUAAGAAAGAUGCCUAGAGAGAUGAUUUUUUACUUCUAGGGCAGAUAAUUAUUUAUAAUUUAAAAAAAAAUAAAUCUAUUACUUUUAUGAUAAUUCUUAUUAUAAUUCUAAUUUGAUUGUAAUUUUGUACGAUUGUUAAUUAUCGAAAAUCUGAAAUUUAUUCAUCGGUCUGGACUACGAUUUUGAGCAAAACUGUACUUUUGAAUAAAAAAAAAAUUUUAAAACAGCCCUUUUAGUUUUUUUUUCUUCUAUUUUUAGUUUAAAAUCUGUUCAAAAAUUAAAAUUUAAAUAAAAGUCAAUUGUUUAAGUCAAGAUCAUAACAAAAUUAUGAAAUUUAAAAGGAGUAAUAACUAGAUUAAUGGCACAGUUGUUGGUUAAAGCUCAAGUAUUUAUAACCAUUUAUCAAAAUAUAGUCGUGAAUAUAUCAUUACAUCAGUAAGUCAAUAACAAUUUUAUGUGAAAAAUAUUUAUUUGGAUUCGGUAUAUCAUAAAUCAAUCGAUUUUUAAAAUAUAAGUAAAUGAGUUCAUGGUGACCUGAAUUUAUUUAAAAAUUUUCUGUUUAUAUUAGAUAUUGUUAGUGAAAAAAUCAAUUAUUCUACAUCUAAACAUUCACCCUAUAUUACUAUAUGUUUGUAUGAUCGUUUAAAUUUUAUUUUUAAUAUAUCAAGAAAAGAAAAGAAAAGAAAAGACAUUUGGUGCUAUCUUGUUGUGAUGCUAAUAAUUAGAUUUCAGUUGAGGUCAAAAUCCCAAUUUGGGUGGUGGAGGAGGCCAGUUUUGGUUGGUCGGUGAAACAGAAGAGGGGGCGGUGUCGCCACUCAUAUAUUCAAUUCUUCAUCCAUCUUGGCGUUUGAUGUAAACCCUUUGUUUUGUUUUAUCUCUUUAUUUCCAUUUUAAUAAUUAGUUCAACAAACUUGAGCCUACUUUAAGGAUUGCAAUUUGAUGCCCAUAUUGAUUUUGACAUUUAUGCAUUGCUGCUUCUACUCCUUGGAUGCUUCACUGCCAUAAUGAUGAAAUUUGAAAAAUCUCCAUAAUUUGCUAUUAUCCAUUUGAAAAUUAAUUUAUAUUUAAACUUUAUUCGAGAAAUUUUAAAUUUCUAUAAAAUAUUAAAAUUUUAUUUAUUUAAUUGUCAACAUUUCUUAACUUCUUGAAAAAUCAUAUGACUUUCUUUUCUUAAUACAAGAAAAGUAAAUUAUUUACCAUGAACCAAACAGAAAGCUAAUUUUUAUUUAACUAUUUCUAAAAGUAUUAUUCCUAUUUUAAAUAAGUUAAAAAUAAAUUAUAUUUAAAAUUUUAAACUAACUAUAAAAAUUAUAUACUCUUAUUAUAAUUUCUUACUAAAUUUAAGGAAACUAUAUCAAAUUGAAAUUUAUAAAUUUUUGUAAUUUGAAGUUGAACAGCAAUUGUAAUUCAACAUAUAAGUUGAGAAACGGUAAAUAAAAAUUAAUUACACAUUAACAUGAAAACUAGUGAUGGUAAAAAAAAAAAAAAGAAAUAAAAAGGCAUCGUUAUCGAAUUUAAAAGUUAAUGAAUUUCAAGAAAAGUAAUUAAUUGAAGGCAAAGCAGAGAAGCAACUUAUUAUUUGGUUAAAUUCACUAUCAAAACAGGAUCCAUCUGAAAAAGACUGUGUGACACAAGCUACAACAGUAUAAAAUUCUCCAUUUUAUCCUUUCGAGUGAAUACACAGUAUAAAUUUCUCCCACCAGAUCAAAUUCUUAACCUGCACUCUGCAGCUAUAUUACUUGGACAGGGAUACCAGUCUCAAAAUGGGUGCAUAUCUCUCUGUCUGGCUUAUCAACUUUCUAUUUAACUUUUUAAAUAGAAAAUUCGGAGAUAUAGAUUUAAAUUUAGACAGUCUAAAUAGAUUAUCCAACACAACUAGACACAAUCAUCCAAAAUACAACUAAACUUUUUCUUUUAUCUAAAUCCAUGCUGUUCAUCGUAAGAGAAAAGAAUAUUCUAUUAAUUAUGCAUGAAUAUGUCACUAAGUAUGAGUAUAUAAAUAUGUGCAGAACACAUAUUCCAUGCUGCAUCUCAUGAAGUGUGGCAUAGAUAAGGGUACGACAUGGCAAAAAGGAGAGUCAGAGUAUCAAAGCUCCAGUUUAUGUUAUGCAGCUUGCAACACAGAAUUGAAUUGGAGCUGCCAAAUACUGUAGCUAUUUAAAAUUUGAAGUGCAGGCGUGCACAAAUGAUGCUGUGUCCAGCAUGUAGUACAAUUACAAAGUUGAAAGCACUAAGGAUUUCUAGAGGCAUACCAUGAGAAAGCUUCCUUGACCGAUCGGAUAGGUCGUAAAUACAACAGUAGCUGCCACCAUUUAUCAGAACAAUAUGCAGCCAUUUUACAAUAGCAAUUUAUGCUAUUUAUGCUCCAACUCUUAAGUCAGGUGGAUUUGCAGUUUCAAAUAUUUUCAAGGUUCAAACUUAUCAAGUUAUAUGAGUUUGUUCAGUGUCCACCACACAAGUCAAUGAGGUCUCCAACAUUAACAGUGUAGACAGUCAAGCAAGCACCUUUGCCAUACUCUUUAUGCAAGAAAGAAUAGCUCAUUGAGUCUGUUGCUUAAGGUUCUGGCAAUGUGGAUGAGUUUACUAAGCUGUCCAACAAUCCAACAUCCUCUGCAAAACUAUUAUUGGAUUGACAGCCAAGGAGAAGUGCUUCCCAAGCUCUAACACCUGGAGAAACAUUCUUAUGGAUCAUUUUCUCAAGCAAUUCCAGUGCUUUACAUGUCAAGCCAAUGGGGCACAGUCCACAAAUUAUCUCAUCAAAUGUCGAACUCUGAGGACAUAAACCCUUAUCCAGUUCUUCCUCCAACAAAGCACAAGCUUCAGUAACUUUUCCACUGCUAAUCAAACCAUCAAUCAUAAUCUUGUACGUUUGCAUGCUCAACCCAAAGCCUUUCGAACUCAUCUCCCUCACGAGUAGGUCCCUUGCUUGGCCAAGUUCUCCACUAUUACAUAACGCCUGCAGUAACAUAUUGUAAGUACUCAAAUUUGGUUUGCAUCCCAACUCCUCCAUGCUAACUGCCAUUUUAAUCCCUUCCUCUACUUUGCCUUGCUUGCACAGGCACUCUAUAUAAACAUUGUAUGUAUAAACAUCAGGGACCAAACCAAAGACAAGCAAUUCGUCGAACAGCUCAUCUGCCUUGGAAUAAGAACCACUUGCAAUAACCCCAUUCAGAACCAUAUUAUAGCAAACAAUGUCCGGUUUGAUUCCAUCUGACUUCAUCUCAUACAAGACACCCAAAGCAUCAGCACCCAUUCCUUUUCUCACUAGGAAUCUAAUUACAUUAGUAUAGUCCAAAAUUCCAGGACAAAAUCCCAAUUUCCUCAGUUUUCCCAAAAAUGCAACAACAUCAACCCCCUGUAUAUGAAUAUCUGUCUGUUCACAAAGUGAAGAUAGUAGCAUAAAGCAUAUAUCUGUGUCAAGAUUAAACCCAUCAUUUAUCAUACAAUCAAAUAGCUCAACAGCAUGCCCGACCUUUUUAAUUCUACAAAGGGCAGAAAUCAGCAAGCGAAAGCUCGAUUCGUCAACUCGAAUAUGCAGAGCUCGACUCUUCAACAAAAUUUCAGGAACCAUUUUCAGACCUUCACUGGUUCUACAAAGAACUGAGAGCAAAGUAUUGAGCGAGUAAACAGAAGGGACACACCUAAAUUUGGGUAUUCUAUAGAACAGCUCAACAGCUUUUUGUAUUUCGUUGGCAUUGCCAUAAAUUUCAAUAAGAUGGCUCAAAAUGAAUUCGGGUGUGUCGAAUUUUUCCAUCUUCUCGAGAUGAUCAAGAACUGGGGAAAUUUGGUUGAGUUGGGACGUUUUGCUCAGAGUUUUGAUGAUAAAGUGAUAAGCUUGAGGGGUGGGCUCACAAUCAUAGAUGCUAAAGGAGUGGAUAAGAGAGGAAAGAAGAUAAGGCUUGCUAGUAGUUUGUUGCCGGGGCUGUAGAGAGGAAGUUGGCGCCGUGGCUGCUUCUUUCAGAUUUCGCAAAGCUUCUUGUUGCUUGAAAGUCUGCUGCCAUUUGACAUGGAAGGUCAAGUGUGGCCAUUUCCUGUGUUUCCUCAAGAAAAGCCUACCAGUUUUUAAAGAAGACAUGUUUCAAAGGGUGAGACAAUCGGCAAAUAUAGCCGGAGGCUCCCAGACUAGCUGCCAAACCCCAACUAAAUUCUCUUGGUGUGAUGGGUUCCGUAAGUACAAGGUGCUUGUUAAAAUGCUUCACUCAGAAAUUACACAAUUUGUUUAAUACAAUUGAUUUCUUUUCCAUCAAUUUUCUUAAAAUGAAAUAAUUUAAUUAUUUUUACUUGUUUAAAAAAAAAUCAUACAAAAUUAUUGUAUACAUCCUUUUUUAUUUUUAUAACGUACACUAUUUCAAAAUUAACAAUUUUGAUCUUAUAGUUUGUUAAUGACUUCAUCUUCUAGUCCUUGUUGAAAAAAUUAUGAAUUUUUCCCUUUUGGAUGUACAAAUAAAACUAAAAUUUCUAAUUAAAAGAUUUAAUUAUUAUGUAAUCAACUAUAAAAAAAAAUCACAGGAAUAAGACAGAUCUCAAAAACAAUAAUCCCUUUAAGGUGCAUAUAAAUUAACAUAACAUUUAUUAAAUUUUUUUUAUUAAUUACAGCAGUUCAUAUUAAUUUUUUUAAAAAAAUAAAUAAUUGCAAUUAAAUUUUAGGUUAUAAUUGGAAAAAUUAUGGGUGAAACGGUGAAUUAUCUUAGGCUAGGGAUAUGUAGCUUUGAAAUUGAGAAUUUAGAUUGAGUUUUGGCAUAGAUUAUGAUAAAUUACGAAGAUUAAAUUAUAAUUUAUUUUAAUUUUAAUUUAAAUAAAAUUAUGCAAAAUAAUUUUACUUACAUAAAGUUUUUAUUAGUUAUUUUUUGGUACUCAAUUGGUAUAAUAUAAAAUAAAUUGAUAAUUUGUUUUUUUACUGAAUGAUUGAGAAAAUUUCUCUAUGAAUUGUCAUUAAUUUAAUAUAAUCUAAUAAAUAUUAAUUUUUUUUAACGAAAAAUUGAGAAGUGAAAUAGUAGAAUUUGAAAUCUCUCAGAUUUAUUCAGAUUCACUUAUUAUCGAUCGAAAAUUAAAAAUUGUGAGAGUAGAAUAUAAGAUCUUUUAAAUUUAUUCAGAUAUACUUACCAUCAAUUUAAUUAUUUGAGUGUUAACUAUUAAUUAUUCUAUUGAGGAUUAAUAAAAAAUAUAAAUAUAAGAGGUUAUUUGAUAUAUUUUAAAAAUUUAAAGAUUUAUUUAACUUUUGUAGAAUCUGAAGUGUUUAUAUAUUUCUAAAAUCUAUAAUUAAAAUUUAAAAGAUUUAUUUAAUUUAAUUAAAUAGUUGAAGAAUUUGUUUAGACUUAAAAAAUUUUAAAUUGCUUAUCAAACUAUUUACAAAUACUUUUUAAGUAUUUAAGUGCUAAAGUAAGCCUUUUUGCUAAAAUUAUAAUUAUUUAUAAAUAGUUCUUUACAAUUUUUAUGAGUUGGUUCCUCAAAAUUAUCAUUAUUUGCCAAUUGAUCACUCCCUCUCUCAAGCCAUUUACCUUCUUCUCUCUCUUUAUUGCCUAUCUCCCUCUUCCUCCCUAUUUCUUUUCUCUCCAAAGAAAAUAAAAUCCAUAAAACUUGUACUAAAAUUCCACAUGAAAUUCAAACCUUCCUCUGCUUUUGCCAAACCGCUAAAGAAAAUCAAGUAAAUGCAACCAUCCGAUUCAAAACGUGGCCUCCGAACAAUAAACAAAUCCCAUAAACCCGUUCAAUUUCUCAAUUAUGUAUCAUAUAAUUUAGUUUACUAUUAAAAUAUAUAAUUAUCAAUUUAUUAUAUUACUUACAUUAAUAUAUAAAAUUUUUAUUUUUUAAUAUUAUUUUAUUUUAUUAUUAAAUUAUGAAAAACUGUAAUUUCAUAAUUUUUCAAAUACAGUAGUAGUUCACAGGUUUAUAAACUGAAAAUCAAUUGAUUGAUAAUUUUAUCAAACAGUAUAAAACAAUUAUUAGACAUAAAACCUCAUUAGCUACCCUAAACUUUUAAUUCAGACACCCUCUAAAUAUCCUGGCUAAAGUGUCUGAAACGUGAUGCACGAAAAGUAGCAUUAGUUCCACCGGGGUUCCUUUCAUCCUUUUGUCAUUCCACUCAAUUGAGAAGAAGAAACAUAGUCCUUGUCUUCAUUAUUGAACUCGCAUGCUCUAUGUCACCGUAAAAUUAGGGAUGAUAACGGUUCGAAUAUUUUUGAAUAUUUGAUUUAAAUAAAAUUAUAAUAAAAUAAAUUUAAAUAAUUAUAAUUAAAUUUAAAAUAAUUUUGAAUUUAAAAAAUAAUAUUUAUGACGGAUUCAAAUUUUAUUUAUAAAAUAUUUAUCGUUUAAAUUUAUUUAUAUAAAUAAUUAAUUUAAUAUAAAAAUAUAUAUUUUAUAAUAAUAUUUAUAAAAAUAUUUUAUAAUUUUUAUUUAAAAAUUAAAAUUUAAAUAUUUUUUAAAAAUAUUAAAUUUUUUAAAUUAAAAUUAUUAAUGAAAAUUAUUUUUAUAUAAAUUAUUAAUUAAAAUAGAUGAUAUUAAAUAGAUUCGAAUUUUAUUUAAAUAAUAAUAAUCGAGUUUAUAAUUAAUUUGUACAGUUUAUGUUAAUUUUAAAUUUAAUUUUUAAUUAAAUUUAAAAUAAAUUUAGAUAUUAUUAAUAUAAAUCACAUUUAUAUUUGGAUAUUUUAAUUUUUGGGUACCAUACCGUUUAUUUACAUUCAUAAGUAAAAUAUUUACAUAAAUCCAAUUAUCCAUCAUAAAUAAAAGAUUUUUAAAUAUAUUUAAAUAGUUUCAUUAUAAAAUAAAAUAAAAUAAAUUUUAAUAUCUCUUAUAUUCAUGAUGUAUCGGAUGAAUCUAAAUAUUUCUUAUUCCAUAGUUGGCUAGAAAAUAUCAUCAAAUAGCAAGUACCAUCCUUAAGCGGGCAUGUUCAUAAUUUUUUGGUUUCACAUCAAAUUGAACGAUUUAUUGAAUUUAUACUAAAAUUCUGAAAUAUAUAUAGAAAUUAAAUUAAAUCGCAUUUAUUUUAUACUUAUUUAUAUUCAGUUUCAAUUAUUUAUUAAAAAAUCAGAAGCAUACCAAAUUAAAUUGAGUUAUAUAUUUUAUAUAAUUAUGAUAUAAAACUGAUUUUUAAUUUUUUAUUAGGAAUUUUAAUUUGUUUUUAGUUCAAUAUGUUGUUAUCUAAUUUUUGUGAAGAAUUAGAAUUGAAUUAAAUUAGUUUUUCAGGUUUUUGCUAUAAUUUUUUUGGUUUGAUUAUGGACUCCUACAAAAAUGCAGGCCAUUAUAAUUAAAAUAUUAAAAAUCAACUUAAAAUAAGCAAACACAUUUCAACAAUUUAAGUAAUAUUUUUUAAAAGAAUAAAAAAAAAAAUCUUUGUAUGGAGAAGCAUCAAAGGUAUUUUUGCCAACUAAAGCUGACGAUUGAUGUGGAUUCUACUUGUCUUAUAAAUGGACAACAGGACGAUGAAAUUGCACAUGAGCGUUGAACUAUCUUUUUAAAUUUUUUUUUCCAAUUUCUGGAUGAGAAAGCCUAUAACGCACCGUCUGCUUGUUAUUGCUCCUGUGGCUUGCGGUGGGAUUAAAAAAAUAUAUUUGAUUUAAUUAUUAAAUACCGAGGAUGAAAUAAGUUAAUUAAUUUAUAUUAAUUAUUUAUUAAAAUUUUUUAUAAAAUUAAUCGAACUGAAUUAAUUUAAAAAUUUAUUUUUAAUUUUAAAAAUUUUAAUUAUUUUAAUUUGAUUUUAAUUAAAAAAAUUAAAAAAAUUAAACGAAUUUAAUUAAUAAUAAUAAUAUAUUAUUUUUAAUAAUAUAAAAAUUAAAUUAUAUUAAAAUAUUUAAUAAAAAAUUUAUUAAAAAUUUAAAUUGAUUUCAAAUUAAUCAGUUAAAUUUAAUUUGAUUUCUGAUCAAAAUCAAUUCGAUUUUUAUAAAUAUUCAAAUUUUAAUUUUUUAUUUAUUUCCAUUGAAUAACUAACAAUAAUAUAUAUAUAUAUAUUAUAUAUAUAUAAUGUAAUUUUAUAUUAUAAAAAAUUAAAAAAUAUUAGAAAACCAGUUGUGGGUCUCCUUACUACUCCACUCCAUCUCAUUGCACCCAUACUCCAUAUUCGGAUGCAGAUUGGGGGAGAAAGACACUAAUUAGGAAAGGGUCCCCUCUGCCUACGGCCUGCUCGCUACUCGCCUGGCUGACUACGGCACUGGCCUGCUCGCUACUCGCCUGGCUGACUACGGCACUGGCUUUUUUCUCAUCGCAAUUGAAGAAGAAUCCGCUGUUAGUCUUUUAGCCACAGACGCUCUUGAGUAAAUAUCGGCUGUGGUCCUAUCAGCUCAACCAGUUGCCGGUCUUAUUUGCAUAAGAAAUGGUUUUGGCGGAAUACGUUGUUUGUCAUCUAUAUGUAGUCUUUUUUAUCUUGAAAAAAAGAGUUGAAUGUGAAAAAUUAUAAUUAUUUAUUUUUUAAAAUUAUUGUUUAAAUCGAAUUUAUAUAAUGUAAGUAUAUAGGAUUUUUUAUAAUUUUUAUUAAUUUAUUAAUAAUUUUAUUAAAUAAUAAUGCGACAAUUAUUGGACGUGCCUUAUAGCCACACAAAACCUUUGAUUCAAAUACCUUGUACAUAUCUUGGGAGGGAGUGAUUGAGACAUGAUGCACAAAAAGUAGCAUUAAUUAAUUCCACUAAGGUUCCUUUCAUCCUCGGUCCUUGCAUUAGAGGGAGAAGUAGAAAGCAUAAUCGUUCAUUUCAUUAUUACCUUAGUGUUCACAACUCAUGUGCUCCUUUUUUCCAUUAUGUUUUGUGAAGCUACAUCAAGCAUUCAAAAUUUAAAUAAGGAAUUAAAAUUCGAUUAUUUAAUCACACUCUAUAAACUAUAUAAUAUAAAUUGUGAUACUCUAAAUAUUUAUAAAUUUGACUAUUCCAAGAGAUAUAAAAAAAACUCCUAUCACAAUUCUAGUCCCUAUACAAAUAAGUUUUAUAAUAAAAUAAUUCUAAUUCAAAAUCUUUUAUAAUUUAUGUAUCAAAAUGAUUAUCACAGUCGAUUAUCACUAUUUUUAGUUUUUUCUUUAUAAAUCUAAUCUAAUAAUUUAGAGAUUUUAUUAAGAGUAAUAUCGGUCUUUUAAAAUUGUCAGAAAUGGUGGGUCCCUAUAGAAUUUUCCAUUAGAGUGAGUAGUGAAAGCAUAAUUGUCCAUUUUAUUAUUGUCUUAGUGUUCAUAUGCUCUCUUCCCAUAUGUCUUUAUUAUAAUAUCACUGUCGAUAAAAUAUCAAAGUAAUUUUCAUUUAUAAUCUCUCAAUUGUCAUAUUUUUUAAUUUAAUUACUAAACUUCAAUUUGAUUCUUAAAAGUUAUUAAGUUUAAUUUAAAUAUUAUCAAACUCUCUUUAACUUUUUAUGACAAGUUUCUAAAUUAAUUCAAUUAAAAUAUUAUUUCUCAUAUAAUUUUAUAUUUUUUAAUUAAAAUUUAAUAAAUUUUAAAUAUUUAUACUUAUAAUGAUAUAUUUAUAUUAUGUUUUUCGUCCCUUUUAUUGGCGUUUGUCUUCUUAGAAUUAAUUGUGUGAGAAAUACCCUUAUUUAGUAAUAUAUUGAGCUUCAUUGGCAUUUUUUUUAGAUUAGAUCCAAACAAACUAUUAUUUUUUAUGACGGAUUCCCAACGUUGAAUCAGGUCUUACACGAUUCUUAAUUACUAGAGUUUUUAGAGUUUUUUUUAUAUGGAUUGAAUUAUUAUUAACUGUGAACUUAAUUACAUUUUUUUUAUCGGUCAAUUAGACUUACAUAUGCCUAUUUUAUUUUUGCUUUAUUGGUGUUUUUUUAGAUUUUGAUCAUAUAAAAUUUUUAAUUAAAUAUAUAAUAAAAAUCAACUUAUAAUUAAUAUGACGUAUUUUAAUAUAAAAACUUUAAAAUAAUGAACACAUUUUUAACGAUCUAAAUAAUAUUUUUUAAAAGAAUAAGAAAAACAUACUUGCUCAUAGUUGCAAAUUGAGCCUACGGACUUUACACCAUAAUAAUUGCAGCCAAAAAACAAGUUUAAAUUGAAGUGUGGAUCCCUUAGCAUCUCUUUCGUAGAAAGAAAAGAUAGAGAAAAAAAAAAAAAGAGAGUAGAAUAGUAAGGAAAGUAAAAUCUAUAUGUAAAAAAGAAACAGAAAAUAAUUAAUUUUCUUAUAAGAUUGUUGUUUUACCAAAAUAAAAGGAAAUUAUGUGUUUCUUUAAUGAUUCUGAUGACCGCUAGUUUUCACUAUCCGGAAUAAGAUUUAGCUCAUGAUAGUAAUCUGAUUCAAAGGUCAUGGGGCCUCUUCAAUGAGCCGGCCUGGACCACCCAGCCUUAAGGUCGGGCCUCCCGUGGGCCUCGGCCCUUUCGCAUCAAGUUCGGUCCGGGAUGCGACAGGAGAAAAGAUAAUCGGCCCAUCCUUUCAGUCACCUCGCAGCCCUGUCUACACGCGCACCGGGAGAAUUAAAUGGCCGUCCGGCUUGGAGAGAGUGUCUGACGGUUUCGCAUGUACGGACCUGUAUGACAAAGAUAAAAUACAAUUACACUGAGGGGCCGUUAGGCAUCGCUAAUAGACAGAAAGGGAAGAAAUAAAAGAAAGAUAGCACAUUCUCUCACCUAAACUUACCCGACCAUCGUAAAUUCUAUUUUUCUCUAAAUCUCAUAUCAUCAUAUUGAAUGAAAAGAAAAUUGAAAAAAGAGAUGUUUCUACAUAAUAAUAAUAAUAAUAAUAAUAAUAAUAAUAAUAAUAAUAAUAAUAAUAAUAAUAAUAAUAAUUUUUAAUAAUAUGAUGAAAAUAAAAUUGUUUUUUUAUUCUUAUAUCUCUCUUCCAGAUUAAUUUUGUUUUUUAUUUGUUCUCUCAUAAAAAUUACAUAUUUAAAUAAUAAAUAAACAAGAAGGAGAAAUUUUCCUAUUUUUUAGAUUCAUUUUAUUAUUAUUAUUUAGUUUUUUUAAAUAAUUAAUAUUUAAUGAGAUAAUUUUUAAUUGUUUUUCAUAUUAUAAAUUAAAUUCAAUAGUAGUAUUUAAUAAAAUAUAAUUAAUAAGAAUUAAUAAUGUUUUUAAAAACAUUUCAAAAAAUUUAUGAAUUAUUACUAUUUAGUUAAUAUUUGAUAUUCAUUUUAUUUAUUUUAAAUAUUUAAAUGAUAAUAAAAGUAAAAAUUGAUAAAUUAAAUUGGUAAAAAAAAUUGUACUACUUAAAGAAUUAAAAUUUAUAUUUAAUAACUGAAAUUGACAUAAUAAAAAAAUAUAUUAGGAGAGAGAAGAAGGAAAAAAAUAUUUUUAUUUAUUUUUCUUUUAUAUAUUAUAUUAAUAUGUAAAUUGAUUAUUAUUAUUUUAUUUUAUUUUUAAAAAAAAAUUUCAAAAUAUUUUAAAUUUUAUUUAUUUCACAGAAAAUAAUUUAUAUUUAAAAUAAAUAUAAAUAUAAAGAUAAUAAAAAAAUUAUAUUUUUUAAUAUAUAUAAAAAAAUAAAAUGUAUAAAAAUUAUGAGAGGAAAAAGAAUAUUGUAAUUAACUUAAAUAAUACUAAUAGUUGAGUAGUUAAUUGUAGGGGUGAGCAGUAUUCGGUUCAAACCGAAAAAAUUGACCGAAUCGAAUUGAUUUAAAAAUUUAGUUCGAUUUUUUAUACAUUUCGGUUCGGUUUGGUUUUUAAUUUUAGAAAUUUCGGUUAUUUCGGUUCGGUUCAGUUUUAAUCAGAAAAAAAUAGAAAAAACCGAACCGAACCGAUUAGUGAUAAUAAUAUGUUUUUUCAAUAAUAUAGAGAAAUUAAAUCAUAUAAAAAUUAAAAUAUUUUAAUUAAAUUUUAAAAUAUUAAAAAUAAAGGGUAAAAAAUUAAAAAAUUAUUAAAAAUUGAAAUCGAUCAAACCGAACCGAAUCGAACCGAAUCAGACCGGUUCGGUUCGAUUCGAUUUCUGACCAAAAUCGGUUCGGUUCGGUUUUCAUAAACACUAAAAUUUCAAUUUUCGGUUUAUUCGGUUCGGUUCGGUUUUAAACCGAACCGACCGAAUAAUCACCCCUAAUUAAUUGGUUAAAUAAUUUAUAAUUAUUUUGAUGGUAAUUAAUUAAAUAUUAUAAAAAAUAAAAUUUCAAUUCACACCGUCAAACUUUGAAUAGUUAAUUACUAAACAAAAACUUUAAAUGCUUCGCCGGACGGAGUCUAAACGUUGAAUUCUAGACCAACUGACUGUUACGCAGAUUUAAAAUAAACAAAUAAAAGUAAUUUUUUUUUCUCAAAAAAUAAAUAAAAGUAGGAUUUACUUUUCUUUUUUUUUAAUAAAAAAGUAGGACUUAGUUUGUUCACGACAAAUGCAUGAUCCGUCCCUCUGAGAGGUAUAUAACCAAAGCAUAAGGGGAGGACCAGUAUUAUCUGUCGAGCCUUGUUGAGGAAUUAUGAAUUCGGGGCAGAGCAACCCAACUCCAGCGAUGACAAGUAGCCAGCCACUGGAGAAACCAGUGGUGGUGAUAGGGCCACAGUUCCUGGCGCAGUAUCCGGUGGAUCUCACUAUCGCCAGCAAGCUCUUGACUCUUGGAGAAAAUAAUUUUUCAGUCACUGACGUCAACGGCACUCUUAUUUUCAAGUUGAAGAGCAAGCUCUUAAGCAUCCACGACCGUCGUUUUCUGCAAGACGCCGCCGGCAAAACCCUUGCCACUCUCCGGCAGAAGGUAUGUCCCUCUGCAUACUCUGUCAAUUACCCAUUUGAUCCGAUUGUUAACUAAUAUAUCUUUUUUUCCAAAAAAAAAAAAAUUGCAGAUAGCGACUGCCCAUCGGAGGUGGGAGGUUUUCAGAGGAGAGAGCACAGACGCUAAAGAUCUGCUUUUCAGUGCCAAGAAAUCAUCAAUAAUCCAAUUCAAGACGGGAUUAGAUGUAUUCUUAGGCAGUAAUACAUCAGAAAAUGUUCCUGAUUUCAAGAUCAAAGGAACUUGGAAGGAGAGAUCCUGCACAAUAUAUCUUGGAGAGUCCAAUACCAUCAUUGCACAAGUAAUUAAUUAAAACCAAGAUCAAUUUCGCAUAUAAAUAAACUACAUCUUCUUCAAAUCUGGAGACUAAUUGAUGGGUUAUUUUUGCAGAUGUACAGGAGACACACUGUGAAGACGGCUCUGUUGGAUGCAGACAACUUUGCUGUGACAGUGUAUCCUAAUGUGGAUUAUGCCUUCGUGGUGGCUCUUGUGGUUGUUCUUGAUGAGAUCAACGAUGACCGCAGGGGAGAUGAUUAAAUAUUAAUAUCAUUUGUGUAUGUUAUUAUGGAAUUCCCCAACUAGCUAUGGAAAUAAAAGUGGGUUGUGCUCUGGAUUGCAGAAAAGUUCUGGUAAGAACAUGUAAUCUCAUGUCUAGUUAUGAUUAACUUGAAUGGGUGUAUCAUGUAUGUUAGGAUUUAGCUUGAAUUGCGUGCAUUUGAAAUAAGUGGUGUUGUCGUUGGCCUUUAAAAGAGUGUAAAUGAGUUGACAGAGGUUUGAAGUGCUCAACCGUUAAAUUUUUGUUCAGCUCUAGCUCCGGUUUAAAAAAGCUGGAUACGUGUUAAUGAGAGAGUUUCAUUCUAGAGACUCGUCCCUCUUUGCUUGCUGGGAUAUGCCACUCUCUUUUACCCCCACUGAGUAGGUGAGAGCUUUCCCCUUAGUCUAAAGUGGAGGCCUCCAUGUUGGGAUUUACAUAUAUCGGUUGUGUUUUAAUUUUUAUUGCAUGUUCUUUAUUUUUUUUAAAAAGUAAUAUUUUAUUAAUUACAGUGAAACCCAAUGUUAUAAACUCAAAUAUAAAAAAUAUAUAUAUAUAUAUAAUUCAAACUCAAAAAGAAAUGCUAAAGUUAAUAGUGUGAGCCAGUAUUCUGUUACCGGUAAAUCUCAAUGUUAUAAGACUAUCUCCAAACACUGCCCCAAAUUUCAUUUUAGCAUUGAAGAUAGAGCCUCCAAUGCAGCGCCAAAACGGCGCUGCGCUAUUUGGCUUAAUAUUGUAGGAGCACCAUUUUUUUUUUAAAUUUAUAAUAUAAUUUAAAAUUUAUAUCUUUUUUUAUUUUUUUAAUUUAUAAUAUAAUUCAAAACUUAUAUAUAUUUUUAAUUAAGUUUAAUUUUUUUUUUCACUCUCAUAAUUUAUUAUAUUUUUAAUUUAUUUUAUACUUUUAUAAUUAUUGAAAUUUAAUUUAAAUUAAUAUAUUCACAAUUAUAAAUAAUAUUUAUAAUAAAUUAAUUUAUUUAUAAUAUAUUAUAUAGAAUAAUAUAAAUAAAUAAAUUUAUUUAUAAUAUAUUAUAUGAUCAUAUAAAUUAGCUUGUAAUUUUUUAUUGAUAAUUUAAUAUAUAUGAGUUUAUUUUAUUUUUAAUUUGCUAAUUAAUAUUUAAUUAAUGCAUGUUUAUAAUUAAUAUUUAAGUAAUGUUUUUUUAUAAUUAUUAUUUAAGUAAUACAUUUUUAUAAUUAAUAUAUUUUUAUUUAUUUAUUUAUAAAAUAAUUAAAUAUUUAAAUAUUGGAUGAAAAUAUAAAAUAUAUAAAUAUUUAGAGUGAAUAUAUAAAAUUAUAUGAAUUUUUUGAGUAAAAUAUAUAAAUAAAAUUAAAAUAAAAUAAAUAAUAUAAUAUUAAAGAGAGAGAAUAAUAUAAAUAAAAUAUGCUUUUUGAUGUUAAAAAUGGUGCAAAAGAUUGAAGAUAAUAUUGCAUUAUUUUAAUGUAAAACACCAAAAUAGUGUAAAAUGGUGCAUAGGGUUGGAAUGGCCUAAGCUCAAAUAUAAAAUACAUAUAUGAAAUCCAAGCUCAAGAAGAAACCCUAAAAUUAAUAGUGAGAACCAGUAUGCUGAUGUUACCGUCUCCUUCAUCGCCAUCUCUACUGCACAGUUGUGCCUAACAAAUUUUUAAUUGUCAUACCCAAAUAAGCAAGCUUGCUGAUGACUAGAAAAGGUAAAGAAGCCACUACAAGGAAGCCUGAAUCUCAUUGUAUAAGGAGCAAUAUAAAUUAGUUAUCGGAACAGAACUCUCCAAAUCGCCUCUUUGAUACAAGCUAAAGAUUCCAUUAAAGCCCAAACAAACAGAGAGACCAACUUGAACCCAAAUGAACUAGAGUGGAAAGCUAUAAGGGCACAUGCAACUAGAACAACUUGAUCUAAGGGGAAGAGAUAGUCAAAACGGCCAAAAAAAGACAAGCCAAAGAAAUCAUUGCUGUGUGAGUGGUAAACAAAGCCACUUUUAUAUAUGUGAUUUGAAGAUCACUCUAUGGUAUGUGUGUCGAUAUAGAUUCUAAGAAUAGACGAUUAUCUCGCCUUAAAAUUUAUCUCAUCUGAGUCUAGAAGAAAAAUAACUAAUAAAAAAAAAAAUUGAGUAUGGAAGAUGAAACCUCCUGAAAUUGCAAUUCUGAUAAAAAAAAUGAGGACGAAUUACUCAAAUGAUUAAGAAAAAAACAAAGAAAAGAGUUUUCUCUUUUUAUGGUUUUAUUUAUUUCCAUAUAGAUGUAUGGGUUAAAACUAUAUGAAAUAUAGUUCAAUUGGACAAUAAAAGCUCACUAUUACAUAUUUUUAUAAUUUAAUUCAAAUACUUUAAUUUUUUAUUUAUUGUCUGAAUUUUUUAUUUUUGUAUAAUUUUAAUCAAUUUUUAAAACCAACAUUUAAUAUGUAUGUACGCCAUAUAUAAUAAGUAUUUCAUAGGGUCUAAAAAGUAAAUUUUAAAAUAUUAAAUUUCGGUUGCUAAUUUUAAAACUUUGCUAAAAUUACAAUCAAUUAAAACCUGUGUUCAGACUUGUUGAGGAAUUAUGAAUUCGGGGCAGAGCAACCCAAUUCCGGCGAUGACAAGUGGCCAGCCACUGGAGAAACCGGUGGUGGUGAUAGGGCCACAGUUCCUGGCGCAGUAUCCGGUGGAUCUCAUUAUCGCCAGCAAGCUCUUGGCUCUUGGAGAAAAUAAUUUUUCAGUCACUGACCUCAACGGCACUCUUAUUUUCAAGGUGAAGAGCAAGCUUUUAAGCAUUCACGACCGUCAUUUUCUGCAAGACGCCGCCGGCAACACCCUUGUCACUCUCCGGCACAAGGUAUGUCUCUGUAUGCUCUCUUAAUUUCCCAUUUGAUCAGAUUGUUAACUAAUAUAUCUUUUUUUGAUAAAAAAAAUUGCAGAUUGCGACUGCCCAUAAGAGGUGGGAGAUUUUCAGAGGAGAGAGCAAAGACGCUAAAGAUCUGCUUUUCAGUGCCAAGAAAUCAUCAAUAAUCCAAUUUAAGACCGAGUUAGAUGUAUUCUUAUGCAGUAAUACAUCAGAAAAUGUUCCUGAUUUCAAGAUCAAAGGAACCUGGAAGGAGAGAUCCUGUAGAAUAUAUCUCGGAGAAUCCAAUACUGUCAUUGCACAAGUAAUUAAUUAAAACUAAGAUCAAUUUCACAUAUAAAUAAUAUACCUCUUCUUCAAAUCUGGAGACUAAUUGAUGGGUUAUUUUUGCAGGUGCAUAGGAGACUCACUGUGAAGAUGGCUUUGUUGGAUGCAGACAACUUUGCUGUGACUGUGUACCCUAAUGUGGAUUAUGCCUUCGUGGUGGCUCUUGUGGUUGUGCUUGAUGAGAUCAACGAUGACAAUAGUGAUGAUGAUUAAAUAUUAAUAUUAUUUAUGUAUGUUAUUAUGGAAUUCCCCAACUUGCUAUGGAAAUAAAUUGGGUUAAAUAAGUGGUUUUAUGAUACUAAAGAUGCCAAUAAAACUUAAAAGAAUAGAGAGACCAUCUUGAACCCAAAGGAACUAAGAUAGAAAACAUUUAAAGGGCACAUGCAACAUUAACAACUUGAGCUAAGAGGAAGAGAUAGAUCACGACAGCUUGAAAAAAAAAAAUAAAGAAACUACCGUCAUGAGAGAUAGAUAAGACCCCAUUUACAUUUGUGAUUUGAAGGUCACGUUUUCUUAUAGAUUGGUCACUAGCAGCACAUCUUCAUUUUAGCAAAUAUCACUACAAUCAAUUUAAAAAAAUAAGAUACUAAAUUUAAAAUUCAAGCAUUUGAAUUAAAAUACAAAUGAUUACUUUUAUAAUUUUUAUUCACUUUACCUUUUUAUUCAUAUUAAAAAAUAUAAUUUUUUUAUUAAUUUUUUUAUUAUAUCCAUUUUAAAUAUAUUAAAUUUUAUUAAAUAUUAAAAAAUAUUUUAAAAAAAUUCUUAAAAAUAAAAUAAAAUAAAAUAGAAUUAUAAUAAUCUAUUAAUAAUUUAAUAAUUAUUAAAAAAUAUUAAAUUAAACAGGUAAAAACUGCAUCCCUAUUAAAUAUGACCACAGGCCAUAUGUAAUUAGACAUGGUUAAGCCCGAACUCUACUUGAAGUCGAAGGGCCUUCAGCCUUGUAGUUAGGCCGAGCUAAUAGCAUAUGCUAAAAACUAUACAUUUUCAUUCACUUGCUCUUUCUUCACCAAUGUAUAAUAUACGGCAUUUUUUUAAAGAUUCCGAAAGCUAUACAAACUGGUAUAAGAACUAUAUAACCACGGAGAAAAUAAAAUUAAACUCGAGCCCCCAAUCAAAAACCAAACUAAAAUAUAAAUUCAAACUUAAUUAAACCACCCAAAUCAAAGAAACACACCAUCAGCAACUGUUCACCGGCUCACCUCAAUCUGCAACUUCAUGAAAACCAUUGCCCUCAUUAAAAAAAAAAACCAGAAUUUAGGAGCACGCAGUAUUCGAUUCAAAUUGAAAAAAUCAAUCGAACCGAAUUAAUAUAAAAAUUUAGUUCGAUUUUUUAUUUAUUUCGAUUCAAUUUGAUUUUUAAUUUUAAAAAUUUCAGUUAUUUCGGUUCUAUCCGAUUUUGAUCAGAAAAAAAAUUAAAUAAGCCAAACUGAACUAAUUAGUGAUAAUAAUAUAUUAUUUUCAAUAAUAUUAAAAGAUUGUAUCAUAUUAAAAUUAAAAUAUUUCAAUUAAAUUUUAAAUACUAAAAAUAAAGUAUUAAAAAUUAAAAAUUUAUUAAAAAUUUAAAUCGAUCAAAUUGAACUGAAUUUAAUCGAAUCAAAUUGAUUCAAUUCAAUUUGAUUUUUUAUCAAAAUCGAUUCAAUUUUUUUAAAUACUAGAAUAUCGAUUUUCAAUUUAUUUAGUGAAUCGAAUAUUGACCCUACUACAAUCUACACGAAGAAAAACAAAUCACUUUUAGAUAUUGUUUUAUUAAAAUUAUUUGUUGCUUUUAAAAAAUUAAUAAAUAUUAAUUGGAUUUUUUUUCAAUGUUAUUCUUAUUUAACAAAAAUAAUAACUCUAUUUAUAAUUUUUAAAAUAUAUAUUAUUAUUUUAUUCUUUUAUUGAAUUAUUUUAUUUUUUAAUUAGAUUAAUAAAGAAAAUUUUCUGAGGCUAGAAUAAUUAAGAUAGAUUAAAAAUGUCUAUUUUAAUAUAAUUUAAAUUAUUAAUAAUUUUCAUAAUUAUGGUAUGUAAAUUUUAAACUAUUGCUAAAGGCGGAAGGAAAAAGUAUUAAAUAAAAAGCACAUGCACAAAUAUAUCGGAUACGAAGCACGGAAUGCUACCACGUCAACAAAUCAUCCAAUCAAGCACCGCCAAGUACUUGACAUGUGGCCAGUUGUAUCAUAUUGCUUCAUGCAUCAAUUAUUUGUCGCAUUUCAUAAACGCAUUCGUAACGCAUACUGGACAUAUUUCGCGGUCUAAUAUUCUUAAUCCGGCGCGUUCCAAUCUUACAAUCAGGAAAAGCACGUGUACAAUAACCUUGCCUCCUUCCAUGCAAAGCAAAAGCAACCACCCUCUAUAUACAAUCCCAUCCGAUCCGAUCCGAUCCGAUCCAAUCCAUAUCAGCGCCAACGCAAGUCGAAAACCUAAAUCCUUUGAUUGCGAGCUUUGUAUCUCCGUGGUUUUGUUUUUAAUUUCAGCUUGUAUUUCAUUUUUCGUGUGAUUAAUCAUGGCCGGUCAACAAAGCAAUCCGAUACCGGCGAUGACAACUUAUCAACCAUUGCAGUCCCCAGUGAUGGUGAUCGGACCACAGUUUUUGGCACAGUACCCGGUGGAUCUGAGAGUGGCUGCCAAGCUUUUGUCUCUUGGAGAAUGUAAUUUGGGCGUCACCGACGUUAAUGGAACCCUUAUUUUCAAGGUGAAAAGUAAACUAUUAAGCAUUCGUGAUCGUCGCUAUUUGCUUGAUGCCGCUGGUAACAUUCUUGCCACUUUCCAGCAAAAGGUUCCUUCUAUCAACUUUUAUUUAUCUCUCCUCUGUAUUUUAUUAGUAGCUUGUUUUUGCCCUUUAGAGCCCCUGCAUGAAAUAAAUCAUUAGAAAAAUUCAAUUGAAUUUUUAGCAUGGAUUCUACUUUUUAAUUGCAAUAUUUUAAGUUAAAAAUUGAAAUUUGUAUAUUUAGAUAUGAAAAUUAAUAAUAAAAAAAAAACAACAAUGGAAUUAAAUUUUUAUAAAAUAAAUUGAUAGGAUAAUGAUGAGCUUAAACUCAUCAUCGUUGGAUGGAGUUGCUCUUUUGACCAUGGAGUAUUGAUUCAUGUUCAGAUAUUGACUGCGCACAGGAGAUGGCAAGUUUUCAGAGGAGAUAGCACAAACGCCCAAGAUUUAAUUUUCAGUGUGAAGAAGUCUUCAAUGAUCCAAUUGAAAUCAGAAUUAGAUGUAUUCCUAGCUACCAACACUGCAGAAAAUGUUCCUGAUUUCAAGGUCAAGGGAAGCUGGUCUGAGAGGUCAUGUAUCAUAUACCUUGGACUAUCCAAUAUCAUCAUUGCACAGGUAAUUAAAGCUCUAAUCCUUAAAAAAUAUUAUGAUCACAGAAUUACCUUUACGAUAAUUAAGGUGAUGUUAAUUAAUGGGUAAUUAAUGCAGAUGCAUAGGAAGCACACACUUUCAAGUGUUGUGUUUGAUGCGGAUAAUUUUGGCGUGACUGUGUAUCCCAAUGUUGAUUAUGCCUUCAUAGUUGCACUUGUAGUGAUUCUUGACGAGAUCAAUGAGGAUCGCCGUGGUGAUGAUUAGAUAGCAACGUAUUGAUGUUUAUAGAAGAAUGGUUUGCAUUUCUUUGUUGCUUUCUCUUUGAGAACACAUGUUAUUUAGAUCAUAAACAGUGGAGGUUGAUAAUGACAUGAACUGUUGAAGAGAACUUUAGAUUCUAAGUUGUGUGUUUCUUUCCUCAUGAAAGCAUUGUGACAUGAACUGCUGAGGAGAAUUUAUUGUUGUUCUUUCUUCUUUGUUCUUCUUAAUACAUAUUAGACAGGAUGGAUGUGUUGAGAAGUUGGAAAAUUAGAAAUAAUUAAUUGAACUAAUUUUUAAUUAAUUUUUAUUGGUGAAAGUUAUAGAAUUUUGAGUAUGAAAAAAGACAAUUGGAGAUAACAAUUUUAUUGUUUAUGUAUUUUUGUGUUCUAAUUCAAUUGCUAUAAUUUUAAAUUAACAUUUUUAUUUUUAUAUAUUGAAAACCGACUAUCUCCCAGCAACCAAGGGAGUAAUCUUUCUAAAAAAAAUAGAGACAGAUGCACGUGAUUGACCCAUAUUUGAUUGGUGAUCUAAAUUUUUUUUGUUUUAAUUGGUGCAAUAGUAAUUUGAAUUUAAGAUGCUUAUAUUGGAAUUUUGUAAGACAUAAUAUAAUAUGUAUAAUAUUAUCACUCUUUUAAAUUUAAAUAAAUUUUAGAGUUAAUAGUAAAAAAGCUUUUUUUACUAAUUAAGUUAUGAUUUUUUUAAAAUUGUUUUAAUUUUACCGUUACUUCUUCAGGUAAGAAUUAAUAAAAUUUAUCAUGUUAUUUAUUCUGUCGUCACUUGUGCAUGUAAGAAUUAAUAAAUUUCAUUAUAUUACUUAUUCUUUUGUUAUUUGUGUAAUUAAAAAUUAAUAAAAUUUAUCAUGUUAUUUAAAUCAGCCAUUUGUGCAGUUAUAUUUUCGUAACCUUAACAUGCUACAACAAUAAAAUUGAUUGAUAAUGAUGACUGACCGUUUCUUUAUUGGACCCAAGAUGAGAACUAUAGCUUAAAAGUUAUAGUUUUUCUUAAGUAAAAUCGAUCCAGCGUCUCGAGUGUGCAGAGUAGGUCGGGUUCAUUAUGAGUCUGGAUUCAAUGAGAAGAAGUCCGGUCCAUGAAGUGAUGUGAGAAAAAAUAGCAGGUUCAAUCACUUCGCAGUCCUAUCCGCAUGCGCGCCGGAGAGAAUUAAAUGGUCGUCUGGCAUGGAGAGAAGUUCUGACACAUCCGUAUUGACAGAGACAGCUAAUAUUGUAGCAGAGAGACAGAUAUACAUCACAAGAGAGAAAAGGAGAUUCUCUCUCUUCUUCCUUCUGCUUCAUGAACUCUAUUUUUCUUUAUUUUUCUCUCUGUAAUUCUUGUCUAUUCAUACUAUUCUAGUUCAUAAAAUCUGAUUUGAACGUCGAAGUGUUUUCACCGGACAUCCUUGGUAGACCCCUGACCAUCUUUCUUCAUUUUGCAUAUUUCUUUUUCGAAUCAAGUAUUGAGGGACACAUAUGAUGAAUCAAAAAAAAAAUCAGAGGAAAAUCAGAUCUAUCAAAUAGAGCAGGAUGAAAUUUUAAAUUUAUCAGAUAAUAAUUUAAAAAUUGAAAUAAUAAUUUAAAAAUUAAAAUAAUAAUUUAAAAGUUUAAAUUAGAAUUAAUAUAAAAUUUUUUAAUAAUUAUUUAUUUUAUUAAUUUUUUGUAAAAUGAAAAUUUGAAUUUAUUAUUUUAUAAUUAUAUUCUUUUAGUUAUAUUUAAUUAGAUAAUUAAAUAUUUAAUUUAUAUAUUAUUAAUUUUUUUCCCGAAUAAUAUUAAUUUUAUUAUGAAUAUAGUACUUUCAAUCUUUUUAUUUAUUAUUUUUAAAAAAUUUUAGAAUAAUCUAUUACUAUAACACUUGUCAUUAUAAAAAUAAAAUCAAAUGGCAAUUUUUAACAUAAUGCAGUAAAUUAAAUAAUAAAUUUUAGAGUAAAAUUUAGAAUUUCAGCUUUCAUAUUUAUUUUGAACACCAGAAUUUAAGAGAAGUUGGCAAGGGAAUUUUGUGGUUGCAAAAGGAAUAGUAAUCUAAUUCCUGAUCUGACUAAUAGGGAAAGAAAGAAAGGAAGGAAUCCAUUGAAGGAACAGCAAGACACAAACCUAUGCUUAAUAGAACAGAACAAUCCUGUCCCUGGCCCAUCCUCCUUGUCUCUUGGUUUUUUUUUUUUUGGACCAAAGGGUAUCUAUUUUGCAUGCAGCUGGGCCAUCUAUCUGCUUUCAUGGUUUUUUGAAACUAAAGAAAGUAUUUUUCAUACGAGAAUUAAUUUUUUUAAUUAUUAAUUAUAUAAAAUUUAGUGCAUUAAUGAAAUUUUUCUUUAAUUAUGUUUAUUUACGUGUAUAAAUAAUGACUGAAAAAUUAAAUUUUAUAUGAGAUUGCGUUUUCAUUUUAAAAAGAAUUAUGAAUAGAGUUGGUCAAUUCCAAAAGCAUUUCUUUUGCAAUUGGUAGUUAAUGGAGUAUAAUGCAUAUGUUACAAAAUUAAAUGUAUUGUGAUCUUCUUAUUUACGAAGAAGGGCAAAUGGUUUCCGAGAUUAAUUAAUAUUGUUCAUAUCAUAAUUUUUUAAGUAUGAAUUUAUAAAAUAAAAGAAAAUAAUGGAUGGAUUGUUUUAGUUGAUACUCAAAUCAGUAUAUGUGAUGAGUAAAUUAUAAAAUUAAUAAGGUAGGAUAUGGAGUUUAGAUAAAAUAAGAUAUAAAAUCUUAUGAAUAAUAUACUAUUAUAUUUAGAUUCUCCGAAUAAUUGAUGUUAUUUGAAUUAUUAGAUCUAAAUUGAAUAUAAUUUUUUUUAAAAAUAUUAUUUAAUAUCAUCAAACAACUCAUUAGAUAAUUUUUUUAAUUUUCAAAAAUUUUAGUAACAUUAUAAAAAUUCAACUAAUUAAUUUCUUUUUAAUUUUAACUGGUAAAUAUUUUAUUAUUUAAUUUUUAUAAUUUAAAAAAAUUAUUAAUUAAUCUUUUAAAUAUAUAAAAAAUCUAUUAAUUGUCUUUUUAUAUUAAAAAUAUUUUAAAAUUUUUUUUAUAAUAUUUAAUGAUUAAAAUUAAUAAAAUGAUCAAUUAACUUUUUAAAUUGUAAUAUAUUGAAACAUAAUAUAUUGAAAUGUGUUUUUUUAAAAAUAAAGUAAUUAGUAUUUAAAAAAUACACACUUUUUUUUUCAAUUGAGCAUGCAGUGAACUGCCCCCAGACACUUAUUGGUUAAUUUUUUUUUUUUUUUUUGAAAUGAAUCUAAUGAUACAAUCGUGUUGUAUUAUGACCAGAGAACUGUAAGGUAAACAUUAAAAAUUAGCUUACAAAAAUGUGCCAUCUAAUCUUUUAAUGAUGUUUAAGAAAUCGCCACAUUCACAGAAUUAAUUAAAUAAUUUCACAAUAUUUUUAAUAUUUAUUAAUUAACAAUUUUAUUAUUAAGAGUUUUUUUAAUUUAUAAAAUAUUAAAAUAAAUAUUAAUAACAUAUAAAUAAUAAGACUCAUUGAAAUAAUGAUACGUGUACACGAGAUUUAGAAAAGUUUCAUAAAUCUACCUCAUUGGUCCGAUCGGUCAGUAGAAAAUUUGACCUACUGAGUUACAAAGAUCAUAACAACACUCAUGACUCUAUUAAAAUUCGGAACAGAUGGAUAGACUCCUUCAAGGUUAAGUAUUGGAGGUAAGUUUGACCAAUCAUAAUAAAUAGGGAAACUCACCUCAACACAAAUUGAGUGAGCCCGAGCAUGACCUGAUUAGAUUGUGGUAGGAUACCAACCUUUUACACACUGAUCAUCUUCUUAGUAUAUUAUUAGAAUUAUAAAUGCACGUGCAAUAAAAUAGAUUAACGUGAUGCAUAUAAUAGAUAAGGAAUGUACUAGUAAAGAUUAAGGGAGAAAAGUUUAAUAUUAUGGAUAAAGGCAAAAGAAAACUUGCAUCGUCUUUGCUUAACUUUAUUUAUAGAGAUUUAAUAUAAUGACUAUAAAAAAAAAAUGAAAGACUCUCUCAAUUUUUAGAGAACACGAGAAUCAAAAAAAUGAUAAGAAAAUAUGCAAAAUCUUUAUGGCUCCUUUAUUUUCCGACGAAGGAUGCCUACUGUAUAUAAGGAUAUGGUUUAUUUUUUAAUCAUAUUUUGUUAUGCUGAGCUUAAUGUUUGGUUCAUUUAUUGUUUUUGGUUGAAUUUUUUAAUUUUGUUUUGAGUCUUAGUCGAAGUGUCACUUUAUCGGAGUUGUGGGAGUUAGUGAUUAUUUGGUGCCGAAGCAUGGACUGUGCUUCUACAAAUGGCUCUUUACUUAUGAAAAUCUGAAAUCGUCGUGGGCUAACCCUCUAUCGGUGGUGGUAAUUAUUGUUCUUUGGGGUUCUAUUUCAUUCUUAAUAAUACGGUGAAACACCUUUUUAUUUGCUGGUUUUUUUUUUAUUAGUGAUUUUGACUUUUUUAAUAUUUUGAUUAGUGUUGAUUUGUUAAGGGUCUGUUGCAUAUUACUUUAGUCAUGGUCGAUUGGUUUGUUGUAUUAUUGUUUACUUUUAUUGGCCUGAUCAAAGCAACAAUGCAAUUUUUGUAGUUGAGACAUUAAUGGCAUCCUUGAGAGUGCUGGAUUUAGUGCACAAUAUUGCGUCGGUUGAGUUUUGAAUUUUUCAAUUUCUCAUGUAGAUAUUAUUGGAUUAGGCAAAAACUUCGAUAUGGACAUUUUUUGAAUCGUGAAUUUUGAAUUUUUCAAUUUCUCGAGUAGGUAUCACUGGGUUAGGCAAAAAUUUCGGUAUGGACACUUUUGAAUUGUGAGUUUUGGGCUUUAUUAAUUAUCUAUGAUCUCUUUAUAAGUAUUUUAAUAAAACUUAUAUUUUACGGUAGAAUAAAAAAAUAAUUUAACACUUAUUUAAUAAUAAAAAAAAAUGUUGGGUGCAGUGUUUUCCAUAAAUUAUUUUUUUUCAUUUUGACAUAAGCUGUGGAUAGUGUUUAAAAAUAAUUUAUUUCAAUUUCAAUACUAAUGAGAUAGUCAAUUGAUUGCAAUAAGAGUUUGAAGUAAAUACAAGAAAAUGUUUGAAGUGUAUGGAUGAUUUGGACUUUUCAAGGGUUUCUAUUAUGUGUCUUUUAUUGAAAAUUCCAGGGGCUCUAUACAUUUGAUUUUCAGACAUCGAAUUGACAUGACUAGCAAAGGCUGUGAAAGACUCUUUAUUUUUUUAGGAUUUCUUAGAUUUUCAGUUGUUUUGAUUUUAGUUGUUGGAUUGUUUUGUACGCAGUUAGAUACAUCUUAAAGCUUGGCAAUGCAUAAAGAAUAUGAUGAGGAUAAGGAUGAUGAUAAGAGGUUGAAGUGUGUUGUUUAGUGUACACUCUGCCGCUUCCAAUAGUUUCCAUCUCUGUCAAUUUUUGGGUGGUCGACCAUUAAUCGUUGAACACCAUUAUCUCAUUUAGUUCCCAUCUCUAUCAACUGGCCUCUUCCCUUCACUAUUAAUUUUAAAUUUAAUUAAAUUCCUUUUUUUCUCUCAACUUUAAACUAAUGUUUUUUUUUUUUUUUUGAAAUAGGGGGUUGGGGGAGUCGAACCUUAGACCUUUCAAGGCUACAGGAUGCACUUUCCACCAGGCUCAACCUUGGAGUGCAACUUUAAACUAAUGUUUAAUUUUAAUCAAUAUUAAGUUAUUAACCUAAUUUAUUAUAAUCUUUUAAUUUAGAUCAAAUUAGCCUAUUUUUAGUAAAAGUUUUAAUAAUAAAUAUUUUUCGUUAAUUAUUUUUUCUUUUAAUAAAAAAUAUUUUUAUGUUAAUUAUUUUUUUUUAAAAUAUUCAAAUUACAAUAAAUAUAAAAAAAAAAUUAUAAAAUAAAUGGAGUCAUUAUAUUGUAAAAUAAUAAUAACAAUAAUAAUAGAGGAGGUAGUAAAUUAAAGGAAAUAAAAUUUUAAAAAUAAUUUUUUAAAUAUACUGUAUUUAAGUAAAUUUUUGAGAUUUUUUAUUUGAAUAAGAAAAUAAAUUAAACUCAAUCAUCCAGUUGAUUUGAUAAUUAAGGAUUCCCACUAACCAAAUUGAUUGGAUUUAUGAAGACACUCCAACCUUGGUUACUGGCUCUACCCCACCAAUACAAUACAUCAAUUAUCUUCCUAUUUUUUAAUUAAUUAUAUUUUAUCAUAUUUAUUUAUUAGUUGAUUAUCUUUUUAAUUUGAUCACUUUUCAAUUUAUACUACAUAUACAAUUGUUUGAUAAAUAUAAUUUUUAAAUUAAUUUUCCAAAAUUAGUAAUUAAUGAUUUAAAAUUAUAUUUAUGUCAUUAAAUGAAAUUAAAUUUUUAGUUUCCAGCUGGUUCAUCAUUUUCUAUUGUUAAUAGAAUAAAAUUUUAAAUUUUAUUUGAUUGGAAGUAAGUUAAUUAAAAAAUUUUUAAUUCUUAAAAAGUUAAUAUAUUAAACUUGUUUAGGUGAUUUUUUUUNNNNNNNNNNNNNNNNNNNNNNNNNUUUUUGUGUUUAUUUUGUCUAUAUUUGUUUACGUUUGCUUGGUUUUGAUUUGAAAUUUAUACUCAAAUAUUAUUCGUCAGAUUUUAAAUAGAUCAAUAAUAAUCAGUGUUGGAGACCUUGUUAGACUCCUCAAGAUGACUCUAUAGUUAUAAUAGACUGAAAAUGUCAUGGAUUAAUCUUUAUUUUUAGUGAAUGAUGUCGCUACAUAGAAUCAAUCAUAUUAUUUGUUCAACUUGUUUUUAGUUUCAAUAAUGACUAUUUAUAUAUUUGUUAUUCUUUGUUAUAUUUCUUUCUAUAAAUUAACUUCUCAUGGUUUUCAAGUGUGGUGUUUUUACGGUAUUCUUUUUAAUUUACGAUUAUUACUGUUUUGCAACGCCCAACACGACAAUAAAUACCAAUAAAGAGAUAUAGUAGAUGGAAUAAUUAUUAUGGGUGUAUGCAUGUCACGUAAUUUUUCAACUGUUUAUUUUUUAUUCCAUGUCAGGUUGGGUUUGGGUUGAUUGAAAAUUGGUUGGAUUUUUUUGAAUUGGCUUUUAUACUUUAUGAGUGUAUACCUCAUCUGUAAUUGUAAUGAUAUGAGGUGAAUUUGGGCAAUUUAAUACAUUACUCUUGCACUGUAAAAAAAAAAGUUUAAUAUUAUAUAUAUCUAAAUUUAUACAGCAUAAAAUGUACAUAGUGAAUGAAAAUUUAUAUAUAAAUAUUAAAUCCACACUUAUAUGAGGUUAAAUUCUCAAUAUGCUUAUUAUAUAUGCUUUAAAUAAUUGUACAUGUAUUUCAAUACAAAUAUUUAAUUUAACAAUCUAUAAGUUGAUUAUGAUAUGAAAUUAAAUUUAGUAGAUUUAUUUGAAGAAAAAUACUUUUUUUAAAAAAUAUUUUUAUAUUUUUUAUUGUUUGAAAUAUUUUAAAAUUUUAAUUAAUAAAAAAUAUUUUCUUAAUCAAAAGAAAAAAUAAAUCAUUUGAAAAAAUAAUUUUCUCUUUUAGAAAAAUAAGAUUAUUUUUUACACUUUAAAAUUUUUAUAUUUAAAUUUAUUAAUAAAAUUUGUUUUAUAAAUAUAAAUUAUUUUUCAAAAAAACAGCGGCAUAUUUUAUUGAUACCAACAAAUCCUGCCAUUAAAUUACCCCUGGACGCCCAUCAACUCCAUUACACCAUGCAAUUUGACAAAACAGAGAAUAAACUCAAAAUAAUGAAAAAUUAGUAUUUAGUAUGAUAAUUAAUUACUUAUAUUCACAGUUAUAAUUUGAUGAUCAUAAAUAUUUAUUUAAAUUCUUAAAUUUUCUUUCUCAAUCCUUAAUUUUUUAUUUAAAAAAAUAAAAAAUUAAUUAGUCUAUAUAUUUUCAAAAUAGACCGACUAAUCUCUGCAGUUUUAAAUGCAUAAUUAAAAAAUUAUUUUUAUUAAAUUUUAGUAUUAUUAUCGUUAAUAUAUACAAUAAAAUGUGAGAAAAGUUAACUAUUAACACUUACCGUGAAAUAUCUUUUAAUUGAAUUUUUGAAAUCACAUAAACUAUUUAAUAUAUUUUUUAAUUAUUAUUAAUUUUUUUUAUGUUAUAAUAAUAAAUAUGAUAUUCUAAAAUCUAAAGAAUAGAGUUUUCAUAGUUAUGUAAAUUUAGAUGGAGAGAAAGAUAUUCUUCUUUUUUUAUUCAUUUCCUUUUAUCUGAUAGUGACACGUAAUGGACUCUCUACUACAGUUUACCUGUUUUUAUCAUGCAGGUCUGUACAUAUAAAAGUGUCAAAUAUUCUCUUCACACUAGAUUAUCCUCUUCACAUCAGACGGUUCUCUCGACACGCGUAGAAGUAGAGUUGCGAACUGACUGAAUUUAUUCUUUCCUUACGUCAUGUCACCAUACUGAGUCUGUAAUGAAUGGACCCUGUGUUUGUGAGUGACUUUAUCUGUUCUAUAGGGUCGAAUCAGGAAAAUUUUAUAAAUUUUGAAUCAACAAGUCCGACCUCAUAUGGAGAUGAUAAAUGCCAAGGAUCAUCAAUAUAAAUUAAUUAUUAAAAGAUGGUCAUAAGAGAACAUAAUUACAUAUAAAUAAAAUAGGACCACUUGCAUUGCAUGUCCAACCAAAACAGUGAAUCCAAUGCUAAUAGUAAGCAGCCAUCAAAUCAAAAAUUCAAUCGGAUGGCAUAAAAAAAACACAGAAUAAUAUGAGAAGCACAGAAUUAGACCUAAGAAAUUAACAACCAAUUGGAUUUGGUCCAUUAUGUUAUAUGCCAAAACUGACCUUUCUUUUUCCUCCUCCUCCUUAUUCUUCUUUUUUUACUUUUUCUUUAUAAAUACAGACAAAGCCGGCCCCGAUCGUGACACAUAAUUAUUUUCUUUUUGAGUCCCACCCCCCUUCACUCCGAUCAAUCCCCCACUCUCUCUCUCCCCCAAAAUUUACUAUAUUUAAUUUUAUAUAUUUUAAUCAGUAUAAAAAUUAUAUUUAUAUUAAUUUAAAUAAUGAUUUGAUAAUUUUAAACACUAAAAAUUAUUAUUUUAAAAAGUGAAGUGUGAUAGUAUUGAUUUAUUUUGGAAUAAUUAUAAAAAUUAUUAAAUAGAGUUAUAAUUAUUAAUUUAUAUAUUAUUAUAAUAUAAAAAAAUAAAUAAUAAUUUUAAAAUAAUUAUAAAAAAUAAAAAAAAUUAUAAAAUAAAACGAAUGUUAAAAUUAUAAUUUUAUUAUUUGAAAACCAACCCUUCGCAAUAUUCCUUAUUACUAUCCAAACACGUUAAUAAAAAUUUAUAUUCCUCCUUAAUCAUUACCUUCUUUUAUUCUCCUUCUUUUAUUUUACUUCCGCUAUCCAAACAUGGUGUUUAUCAAAUACCCGAGCUGUCCCUGCUUAUAAACUAGUACAAAAGUUUGUAAGAAAAGUAAGAAAAGCUGGGCCGUAAACUACAGCUUUUAGUUAAGACCAAAGUCUUCAGCUUUGCCACGCGUUCUCAUCUCAAUUGUUCGUGUAUUUUAGUCGUUGAAAUGGAGCGUGGUAAAGUGGAUAAGAAUUGCUAAGCUGGGAGGGGUUAUUAGAGAAGAAGAAAAAGGAAAGACAGAACAAAAAAACGGAUUUUUCGGUAGAAGGUUUGAAGUAGAAAGAAAGAAUGAAUACGAGAGAGGAAGACUAUUAAGAGAAAAAGGAUCAAUCAGUUAUGCAGAGGAGCUGGAAAGAAACCUCCGGGAAAGAUACGAGAAACGGAUAGAUUUUUUAGGGUUUCUGUUCUUUUUUUCUUGUUUUCACAGAGUAAUUAUCAUCGCCUCGUUGUGGUUUCCUGGAAAUUGAAUCGAGUUAGACUUGGACUUGGUGUUUCUUCUUCUUCUUCUUCUUCUUCGCACAGUUGUCUUGAAAUUUCGCAAGGAUUCUCCUUUUCUUGCAGAGAUAGAGAUGGCUUUGGCUAUGGCUUCUUCUUCUUCUUCUUCUGCUACUGUGGCGGUGGAGAAGGCGACUAGUGAUCUUCUAAUCGGUCCUGAUUGGACUAUGAAUAUCGAUAUUUGCGAUUCUGUUAAUUCAAAUAUUUGGUAAAGCUUUUUUUUACUUUUUCUUAUCAUUUGCAAACCUCUUGCUGUUCCUUUUGGAUUUGACUUUUUAUGUUUUUGUGUUUUUAUUUAUAAUUUCAUUAUUUGCUAUAUUAUCUUAUCAUAUGGUUACAGAUAAAAAUAGGCGAGUUGCCAUCUGUGUGUUUAUGUUGUUCUUCUUGAUAUGUAUGUUCGCAAAAUUGCAGGGUUGUAGUGUUGAUUUAAUUUAUUCUGAUGAAUUAAAUUCGAAUUUCAUUUUUUUUUUUAAGUUUCUUCUUUAUCCAGUCUAAGAAAUUAGGAAACCUAGAAGGGAGAAGAAAUCUCUUGCAUAAGUUUUGAACUUUUUCAUGGUUAACAAGUUUCCCCAAGCUUUAUUGUAAAGACUGCUUAUAUUGAAGGGAGAGGAUCGAUUAAACCUGUAAUAGAGUUUGCGUUUAUUUGAGGACAGAUCACUUGGUGAAUAGAGCCCUAGUCUGCUGGUGGUGGUGGUGGUGGAUUUCAAUUAAAUUUCUCUUAUUAAUUAUUUUUUGAAAAGUUGACUGCCUUUUAGGAACAUAAAAUGAGUUUUGUUUUGCUUUGCUGAUUAGUAGAUUUUGGAUUUCUUAGGCAAGCAAAAGAUGUUGUGAAAGCUGUGAAAAAAAGGUUACAGCACAAGAACCCUAAAGUGCAACUUCUGGCAUUAACGGUAUGUUUGUUGGAGUAAUUUUUAUGUUAUCUUUUAAUUGAGCUGGGCACAUCUCUUUUGAGCUAAAAUCCUAUUGCAUAAUUGUGUCUGUUUUCCAGAACAUUUUAUUUUUUGCAAACAUUUUAUUAAUUCAGGAAUUAUAAUGCCAUUGUAUCCAAAUUUUUUUAUUCUUUUUCGUGAUUAUCACUGUGUGCUAUAUCUUCUCUGCAGCUUUUAGAAACAAUGGUGAAGAACUGUGGUGAUUACGUCCAUUUCCAAAUUGCUGAAAAGAACAUAUUGGGUGAGAUGGUCAAAAUUGUAAAAAAGAAGGUACCCUUUGAUUCUCUCGGUAAAUGUAUUUCUCUUCUCACAUGCAAGGCUGUUAAGAGUUUCCACCAACAUUCAUUGUUGCUGUGUUUGUAAUAAGAUGCUAUUACUCCAUGUCUUAGAAAUCAAUAUAAUGGUUGGUUUGGGAUUUUCAUGUAACUUGAAGGCUUGAAUCCAUUCUGUUUCCAGAAUCAAUCUGUUCUUGUGUUUUUUCUUUAACUCUAUUAAUGAAAAUAGUAAAAGUGUUAAGAAAGUUGUAAUGGUGUAACUAAGGUUUAUGUGUGUAAUAAUGUUGUUGAACCAUUUGCAUUUGGGAACCAAUGAAUUGUUGGACUUCUGUUUUUUGUCAAGCUACAAGUAUGUUUAUGCUCUGGCAGCAGUCAAAUAGACACGAGUAAUUAUGUUUCAACAAAGUUUGCUAGUUGUUUAAUCUAGCAGGCAGCCCUUUUUUUUUUCUUUUCGGUAAUUGUAGUCGUAGCAAUUUUGUUGAAGUUAUUUUAGGUUAGAUGGACUAUCGUUGCAUUUUAGACAAAAUGAACACAGUUGACAUUCCAGAUUGAGAUUUAAGUUGUUUUGCUGGGUUUCUUAUUUUCGUGUUUGCUACCAUAUUUUAUUAUCUAACAGGUUGCUGUUGUAUCACCUAUCCUUUUAUUUUUAUGCAUUUCCUGAUAAUUGAUAAGAUAUUUAUUAUUACUUUGCUUGUUGCUUGGCAUUUUGGCCAUGGUUCUCUAUAUUUCAUCUUUUCUGUGGAGCUUAAGUCUUGUCCUAAAUCCUAAAACAAAUGUUUCGAUGGUUGGCAGGCUGAUAUGCAUGUAAGAGAUAAAAUUCUGAUCUUGCUGGACUCGUGGCAAGAGGCUUUUGGGGGGCCAGGGGGAAAACAUUCUCAGUACUAUUGGGCAUAUGAAGAACUAAGGGUAAGCAUUUAGCUUUAGUAUUAAAUUAUUCUAUUUGGUGGCACUAUCUUGCCUAUGGCACGAGCCUCUUAUUGUUGGCCAUCAUUCAGUAGCGGAGCAGCACUUGGGGUCUUAGCCUGUUUUGAGAUCACGCUGAUUUUGUGAUCCAUCAUCCAUUUUUAAUAGGAUUGCAGCGUUUCAAAUAUAAGGAAAAUUCUUUGUGGGGAUUAUCAUUGAUAUUACACUGUCGACAAUAUGUACAAUUAACCUUUAGAGCCUGAACUUCUAACUUAUGGUUUAUACAUAUGGCAGCGUGCUGGAGUGGUAUUCCCUCAACGGUCCCCGGAUGCAGCUCCAAUUUUUACACCUCCUGUUACUCAUUCAACAUUGAGGCAUGCUCAAGCUGCAUAUGGGAUGCCUAGUAAUUCUUCUAGAAGACUUGAUGAAACAAUGGCAAUGGAGUUUGAAGGCUUAAGGUAAGAGUUGACACACUGUAAUAGUCUCUGUCAUACUUAUUAAAAAUACUAAAACUAUUGAUUUCUUUUAACUGAUAUUUCUCUUAAUUAUUUUAGUUUGUCAGGCUUGGAUUCCAUGCGGAGUAUUGUGGAGCUCUUAAAUGACAUGCUGCAAGCUGUGAACCCUGAUGAUCGCGAGGUGUGUGCAAUGAUUACCUUUUCUCUGUUCUCUCUGGAACAUUGGAGUAAUUGUUUGAAAUGUUUAUUGUUUCCUUUUAGGCUCUAAAAGAUGAAAUUAUAGUUGAUCUUGUCAAUCGCUGUCGAUCCAACCAGAAAAAGUUGAUGCAGAUGCUAACUACAACUGGGUUAGUUCUCUUCAAAUGUCUUAAUACUGGCAAUGCCUUGUCAAGCUUUUAGCACGUCCUUGAUCUGAUAGAGGAAACUAUUUAGCUCAGGGGGUGGGCGGUGGGUGGGGGUGUGUGAAAGAGAGAAUGUGUUUGCCAAUGAAAUUCUGGUGUGUGCAAGCCUCAAAGUGUCUUGUUUUUGUGGCAGGGAUGAGGAACUUCUUGGUCAGGGUCUUGAAUUAAAUGAUAGAAUACAAACCUUGCUUGCCAAACAUGAUGCUAUAGCUUCUGGUUCACCCAUGCCAGCUGAAGUUGAUAAUUUAGGUCCCAAGUCCACUGAAGAAUAUUCCUCCAAUAUCCAACCAACUCAAGUAAAAGACGCCAGCCCAAGUUCUAGCACUAAUGCCAAUGUGUCAGUUGCUAAUGUACCAAGGAGCCCUAUUGAUGAAGAAGAUGAAGAGGAGGAUGACUUUGCACAGCUAGCUCGGAGGUAUUACUGAAGCUUAAUCUUACAUGUUGUUUAGGGUUGGUAGAAACUAUGCAAUUUAACCAGACAACAUAAAAUGUUGGACCUUUUCUGGAUGUAGACCUCGUUUUUUGGCUUUGUGAUGGAUCCAUUUGGAUCCUUCAGUUCCUCUUCAACCUUUAUGGAGGACUCCUUGAACUCUUUUUAUUGGCAUUUCACCUACAUGAUGCAUUUCAUGGAGUUCUAACUUCCUUUCAUAUUUGUUAUUUCCCCUGUCAAUGUAGGCAUUCAAAACCACAGUCAAGUCCAUCUGAAAGCACAUACGGAACCAGUGAGGCUAUUGCUUCUACCACCACCAUUUCAACUCCUGUUCCAUGCACUGCACUAGCUCUUCCUGAUCCACCUGCACCAGUUAGGACUACAAAAGAGCAAGAUAUAAUUGACCUUUUGAGUAUCACCUUAUCAACACCAACAUCGGAUCAUCCCCACACACCUCAUACUCCAACAGCUGCUACACCGAGCAUGCCUCAAGUACCAGCCUCAAGCACUCAAGGGUAUCCUUAUAUUUCCCAGACAUAUCCUGGAAACCAAGGGCAAUCAACUUACAACAAUUAUAUCGUUCCAUGGGCCCAGCCUCAACCCCAACACCAUUUACAAAUUCCAUCUCAGCCCCAUUUACAGCCUCAAAUCCAGCAGCAAAUGCAACCUCAACCUCCACUGCAAUUUCAGUCUCAAUCUCAACCACAACCGCAUACUCAGCCUCAGCUGCAAUUUCAACCCCAAUCUCAAUCACAACCACAAUCACAUCCUCAACCUCAGCAGAAGUCUCAAUCAUCGUCUCAGUCACAGCAACCUUGGCCUCAUCAGCAAUUCCAACCUCAAUCUCAAUCUCAACUGCAGCCACAACCUCAACCUCAGCAGCAGUUUCAAUCUCCAUCUCAGUCACAACCUCAACCUCAGCAGCAGUUUCAAUCUCCAUCUCAGUCACAACAUCCUCCGCCUCAGCAGCAAUUCCAACCUCAACCACAAUCACUGCCUCAACCUCAACCUCAGCAGCAGUUCCAAUCUCCAUCUCCGUCAGAGCAUCCUUGGCCUCAGCAGCAAUUCCAACCCCAGUCUCAACCACUAUCACAGCCUCAACCUCAGCAGCAAUUUCAGAUUCAUUCUCAAUCACAACGUCCUCGGCCUCAGCAGCAAUUCCAAUCUCUGUCUCAACCACCACUUCAUACUCAGCAUCAGCAACAAUUUCGACCUCAAUCUCAACCACAACCAAAUGCGCAAUCUCAGCUACAAUACCGACCUGAAUCUCAACUUCAGUUUCAGUCUCAACUGCAAUCACAGAAUUCUCAAU